CCAAGGAAUACCAUGUCUCCUCUCGCUGGCCAGAGAUAAAAGGUAGGGAUUAGGUUAAAGUCCCAAUAACACACUGCAAAUCGAUAAUUAGAGAAAUCAAAUCUUUUCGUUGUGCACAAGUCUAAAGAUGGGAAUUCUCUUUCUAUGCUAAUAUUUUGAAACAUUGAAACAUAAGCAAUGUCCUAUAGUCUAAGGUCAUGCUUUAUUUUCUCAGUAAUUAAAUAAAUUUGUUAUUAUUGAGUAAAAUAAAAAUGUAAAUUGUGUACAUUUAUAUAAUGUUAAGAUUACAAUAAGAAUUUGAUUAAAAUAAAAAGGCCGUUCUGUACUUUAUUCGGAUGUAGGUGUAAAAAAGUAAUAAUAAUCAAAAAAUAAUGUAGCUUUAAUAGGAAACCAUUCUGAACAUUAACUAUAUAAACCCGAUGUGUUUAUUUCACCAUCAUACAUAAAAAAGCUUUAUGUAAAUAAAUCAUUUGACAUAUCUUCAACAAGCAGAUGAAGCUGUAAGAGCCAAAGUAAAUAGAUAUUAUUCUAAGAUACACUGUUGUGGGCAGCUGCUUCAGUUAUCUGACAAUGUUGAUUUUGCUAGCUAAAGACAAGACAAAUAAACAUGCAGUAAUUUCUAUGAAAAUUGAGUCAUUUUUGUUUCGAAGCCACCAAACAUAAUUUAAUCCUAUAAUCUCAGAGAAAACACAAUAUAUUCAUUAUCCAUUAUAAAAUAUUUUGCGGUUAAGUUUUCUUUUUUUUUUGGAAAUGUAAAUACUCAGUUAAUUUUUUAAGGCACAAACCUGUUUUUGUUCCUUUGUGUAAAUAUAUUUGAAAUGCAGAGAACCAAUGCAUAUGCUAUCUUAAUGUGUCAGACUUUCCUAUCUUGAAAAUUACCAUGGAGAAUGGAACCUUUGUUCUCCUGCAAUUGACAUGUCACUGAGUUUUACAGCUGAUGAGCUCAGUUCUAGAUGAGUUAUGAUGUCAAAGGUUAUCUGGUAGGUAAUCAUGCUAAACAGACUAUAAAUAUCGCAGUGGUGCAGUCCUAGUUUCAGUUGCAGUCACAUUGCCGCUUUCCUUUUACGUUAAUAGCAACAAGAGAGUACUAAUUGAUCUCGGUGGCUUAAUAGCAGCAGUUGUGUUUUAUUGGUGUUUACGGUGUAUACACCGCGUAAUAUAAUGACUGUGCGGUGAGUAUUUUUAUCAAAUAAACCAUAGGAAAAAAAAGCAUUAUAGCUAAAUACAUUUUUUUUAAACAAUAUUCUCCUGAUGUUACCAUUAGCAAAACUUAAGUAGAAAAUGGUACUACAAGUUUGUGCAGCAAGGUGGAUUAAACUGAGAGCCAAAAGGGAACAUUCACAAAAUAUGCAGAAUCAUGCCACAGAGACUUGACCAAUGUAUGCAUUAAAAGGACACUAUAGGCACCCAGACCACGUCAUCUCUUAACCAUGCAAUGUAGUUUCAGAGAAAAUUAAAGACAUGACAUAGCAUUAGGAACACGUUUGUAUUCUCAACGCCAUAGUGUUCCUUUAACCAUGGCAGUAUGUCUAUCCACUGGCACCUUGUCUAAAACUUUGCUAAUGACUUUACAGACCAAACUGCGAUAAACAGCUAAUUCUAUUUGGGCCAGCAGUUUAAUUGUUGUGCUUGGUGAGAUGUUGAUAUGCCCAAAGCUAGUACCAAAUACAGUAUUGUGCACUUAUUAAUAAUACCUAAACAUAUGACCUAAUCUUAGAUUGUUUUGAUAAUCAAUUAAGUUUAGGGACUCCACACUUCAACCCAACUGUUGUUAGGCUGCUGUUUGUAUAAUUACAUUCCACAUAUUAGCUUACAGUGAAUUCUGGAAUAAAUAGUGGACACCCCUAUUCUGGAGGGAAUAUUAAAGUAUAUGAAAUCCCCAACUGCAAGCACAGACUUAGGACAGUGAUUACAUUGAUUUUUGGAGAAAACUAUUCUGCAUUAUCUGAUUUCUGUAAUUAUUUUCCCUUUACAGCAUUGCUUCUGCCUGAUGUUUCCAACCACAUCUGCAAAAGCAAAUUAUCAUCUGUGAGGCAAGGAUGCAUUACAAUGAAUUUUUAUUUAAUAUUCAUUAAGUUUACUAGCAUUCCACAGUUUUUUUUUUUUUUUUGUUCUCUUGAGUUUAGAUCGUUCAUGAGUUCACAAGAAGAGCAGUCGUUUUCCAGUAGAGUCAGUCAGGGGUAUCUGGAAAGAAAGGGUUGUGAGCAGUGAUUGGUGUAUAGCUUCACAAGCUGUGCAAAGCAGAAGUUCCAGUUUAAUCAAAAUUUCUAUCAUCUCCAGCAGCUAAAACCACAGCUGAGGCUUGUAGGGAGUAAAGAGCAUAGGAGCCAAAAGGGAGAUGCUUUAUACACUUGCUAUGUGAAUUAAAAAAUAAUUUUAAAUGGGUUAAGAGAACAUAUUAAAACAGUUACUGCUGAUUAGGAAAUUCAUAGGAAUAGCUUUUGCUUGGCAGCCAUUGCAGUUAGUUAACCGAUUACCCAGUGCCAGAGAGCAUGGAAUUCAAAUAGAAAAAUCAGUGCCACGUCUCUGGGGGAUACUCACAAAGCAGUUAAAUGAAAGAACACCUAGCUGCCACCAAGUCAUAGGUAAAAUAUUCAUGAAAAUGGUACUUUGCACCCAAAAUGACUCCCGAUAAUGUCAGUGCUUACGAAACAAUGUUCUUUAAAAAAAAAAUGGAUGAAUUCCAUGGCAAGGGACAAAAAUAAACAAUGUUAAGAAAGUGUUUUGGUAUAGUCGUGAAAUGCAUCCCGUGUUCUUUUCUUCAUUGUUUAUUUUGUUUUGUGUGCAAAUUUUUGAUUGUAUUUACACUUACCAUUUUUUUUUGUUUCGUUUUUUUUGUCUGUGUCAUAGAUUUUAUUAUCAAGAGUUUUUUUUAAGUUUUACAUUAUUUGAAGUCAUUUUAAAUGUAAAGUAUAUUGUUUUUUUGUUUUUCGUUUUGUUCUCAAGAAAAGAGCAGGGAUUUGGAUAUGAAGCAAUAUCCCACCCAUCCUCUGCUGCUAGAAUCAGGGUAAACUCAUACAUCUGCAGGUUAGAGGGUUACUUGUAAAUGACUUGGGUUACUGUUACUGAAUGACCGCCUGCAAGUCUAUUAUAGCUAGUGAUUGGCAAAUAUAAAAUGAGAUGCAGACAAAACUCAGCUCUUUUAGCCUCUUGCAAGAAGAACCAUGCCACUUGACCUGCCCAAGGGACAAUUGAAUUGAAGAUGCAAACGAUGAAAGAAAGGGAAGAGCGGACAAAUAGCAUAGGAAAAUAAAAACAAUAAAAGUGACUUGGGGAGCCACGGUUGAGUUAAAUGGAAAGUGAAUGAACAAGUGAAAUAGAGAGUGUGUUGGUAACUAUGAUAUAGAGCAAUAGUUAGAGGCAAAAGACAGAGAAAUGGAACAGAGUGAAUGUACAGAAAAAUUAAAUAUAAUAGAUCAAACAUCUAAUUGAAAUAAAAAAAAUAAUUAUUACUUCCUAAAUUAAAUGGCUUUUUAUUCCAAAGACUAUGACUAAAACAAAAUUGAAAUUUGCAACCAAAAUUAACACAUGGGGGAGGGAGGAGAUAAAAUGAGACACAUAGAGGGACUGGGUGAGAAUGAGCACCUGGAGGGACUUAGGCGGGAUAAGACAUGUGGAGGGGCUGGGUGAGGAAUGGAGACAAAUAGGUGGCUGGGGAAAUUAAACACAUAGGGGAGAUGAGAUGCAUGGAGGGGCUGCGGGGACACAAAGCGAUAUAGAGGGGCUGGAGGAGAAAGGGACAAUGUGCUGGGGGUAAGAGACAAACAAAUGGAGCUAUGGAGAGAAACUGACACCCGGAGGGGCUGAGGAAGGGGCAUAAGAGAAAGACAUAGGCUUGGCAGGGAGACACCCAGAGAGGCUGGGGGAGGGGAGAGGGAGAAAGAGACACAGAGUAAAACUAAAACAAUUCAGAUGACUAAAAUAUGACUAAAACUAAAAUGUCUUUUUAGUCAAAAAACUAUGACUAAAAACUAAAUUAAAAUGUGCUGCAAAAAUUAACACUGCAGUGUACUAUAAUGCACUAUCUCAAGCUAUAUAUUGAGGACUUUUGACAUCAUACGUCUCAUUUCGCAAGUAUCAUAGCUAUUUAAUCUGAUAGAUACAUGAGUUUUGUCCCAAGGUUUAAUUUCUACCAGACCAUAUUAGUGAGUUUUAUAAUAAAUAAAUACAUAAAUAAAUAAAUAACCUAUUAUAAAUGUAUAAAAAAUAAGCUUUACCUGACUGCUGAAUAGGCAAGUCACAUGGUGGUGGAGAUGCUUGAUUUCUUGGAAACUUUAAGCCUGAAAAACAUGAAAUAUAUCUGUUCGCUGUCACUGACUGACCUAAAUAGGUCCACUAAGCACCUUUAAGUACCAGCUGGGCGCACUCUACAGUGGAAUCCUUUGAGGCCUGCUGAGAGACUAGAGGCUGGGGAGGCGAUCGAUCCCUGUGCACCCUUGCCACAAGAGAACCCUGAAGAAAUGGAUGAGAUGCCACAACAAAGCAACAAGGAGAUGUAAUUAUGGCUGUGGCGCUAACCCACACGCCUGAAGGAUCCUGAAAAGGGAACACGGUAGGCAGUUUAGGAAGUUGGUCAGCUUUAUCCUUCAGCAUAGAGAGAUUUUGGGCCUGGUUUUGGGGGCACAGGAGGUGUCUACUACCUCUCCACUUCCCUGGUCUCCGGUCAUUUCUCGACAGGGGGUUGGAUAGUACUGCCAGGACACUUUAUCUUUGCUUUUGAGGUUUUUCAUUCUUUUCUUUUAAUUUGGUCUGUACAUGUAAUUACUCUCUCUCAUUUCACACUCAAUGAGGCCUCAUGUGAAUAUAUGAGAUAUUUUAAAUAGCUGAUUGGUCAGUGUGUUUCUUUUCUAUCAGUACCUAUAAUUGAAAUAUAAGCAUGCCUUCUUUAUCUACCUGGAUUUUACACACACACACACCUGUCGUUAUACUCUUUUACGUAAUUUACUACAAAAUAAGUUGCUUGUUUUGCUUGUUACUUUACAAAAAAAAGCAUUUUCAACAUGUCGUGAUAUCUCUGUCAAUUGUCUUGUAUAAUUAUGUCUUGCUGACAAGUCACAUUGAGUCUGUAUGUAUAUCUCUGCAUGCCAAAAUAAAGAAUGUCAAAAAAGCUUUAUUACAUAAUUUAAAAUAUAAGAUGAAUCAGAAAUGAUCUAUGUACACCAGUAAUUAUACAGUUCAUAAGUCAAAAAUCAUAUACAUGUAAUUAAUUUGCAUACACUGUAAUAUCGAUAACCAGGUAUUUCAUAUAGAUAUAGUACAAAAAAAGCAAAAUGAAAAUAAUGCAAAAUAAAGUAAUCAAAGAACACAAGGCAAAAAAAUAAAUAAAUUGCUAGGUACUUUGCCUAAUUAGUAAUCAAGGGACAACACAACCACCCCAUAUUAGUGAGUAACUCCAGGCAGGGCUGGAUUAACAUAGGGGCUGAUGGAGCUGUAGCUCCAGGCCCAUGGAAUAGGCCCAUUUAAAAAAAUAAUAAAAAAAAAAUAGAAAUUUUACUUUUUUUUUUUACACACUACUCUUAGGUUUGCCACCUGACUGGUAUUUUACUGACAUAGCCGGUAUUUGAAGCUGCAGUAAUUGCAGUAAUACCGGCAAUACAAAUGCAGGUAUUUUUCUCAGUAUAAAUGGAGAUUACUAUGCAAUACCAGCACUGGCCAGUAGGGGUCACUUUGUAUGGAGAGAGGCAGGGAGAGGAAGUUACAGCAUAUCCCUGCUUCUCUCUACUACUCACUGAUCCGUGGGGGAACAGCUACACAGCACAGAAAGUCCAGACAGCAACUCUACAGCUCAGGUAAGUGAGGGAUGGGGGAAAGGCAGCAGGGAGACAUGGGGACACUGAGACACUAGGGGAAACUGGAAAACAUGGGGACACUGAGACACUAGGGCAGGGGUAGGCAACCAUUUAGCAGCACUGUGCCGAUAUAGGAGUGUGAUGUCCCGUAGUGUGCCGGUCCUAUUUUUUUAAACUUAGGUAUGUAUUCUGCCGUAUUCUGCUUGUGUUAUUUUUACUGCAGUUGCUUUGCAUCGUUGUAUUUGUGCGUAUAUAAGCUAUUAUAUUGUAUAUGUUCAUUAGUAGUUUAUGGUAUUGUGUAUGAUACAUAUGAAUGUGGGCUGUGUAUGAGGGCUGCUUGUGGAAUUGUGUGUGGAUGGAUAUGUCACAUUGUGUGUUUGGUAGUGUGUGUGGGCUGUUUGGGGUAUUGCAUGUGAGAGGCUGCAUGUGGGGUUGUGUGCAUGUAUGUAGAUUGUUUGAGGGUUACGUUUGUGCAGAUUGUGUGUAUGUUUGUGUGUGGGCAGUUCGUAUUAUUUGUAUAAGGGGAGGGUUAUUCUUCAUUUCUUUGUUAUGAAUGUAAAUUAGUGAUAGUAAAAUGUCUAUUUACUGUGUAUACCUGUAUUCAAUAUCUACUCAAAAUGGCUGCUAGAGCACCCCCUUCCACCGACUAACUACCUCGUGUAACAAGAUGGUGCUACAUCCGGAGUAAAAUCUCGGGAUGAUGCUGACAUCACGCCUUGUAGGAUGUGCAUUAGAUAAGACACUUAACACCUAACCAAUUAAAGAUGUAAUCUCUCUGUAAUCUACAUUUUUGCAUAUGAUGUAUUUUUGCCUUUAUAAGGGGCUUGCCACCCCCUGAGUAGACAUUCAGAAGUUUUUCAUUAACCUCAUACCUGUGUCUCAGUGUAAUUUACUUCAGAGCGUGCACACAUUUAUUUUAACAAUUUGGAAAGGAGCAGAUACUCAGAUAAACACUUGGUUUGAUCCACAAUAUCUGUGUAUAUCUAGCAGUAUGGUUGGCUUCCCUGGGUUCCAGUGGGGACCAGGCUGGCCUGGUACAGGUUAAGGACAGGAGCUGCAACAGCAGCUGCAGGCUGCUCUACUACGUUGUGGAUUCCCAUUCACAAGUGCUUGGAGGAAGUGAUCUGAGUGUGCUGCAAUGCUUAAAUUGAGGAUUGUCCUUCACCAUCUUUUCGUAUUAGCAGAUAUUUGAAGUUUUACUGGGACUCCGGAUAGGCCAGAGCCUGUUUGGCUCUAGCAGCCUUGAGUGCCGUGCAAAGACACCUCGAGUGCCGUGCAUGGCACUAGUGCCGUAGGUUGCCUACCCCUGCACUAGGGGACACUGUGAGACAUCGGGAUGCUGAGACACAUGGGGACGCUGUGAGACAUAGGGACAUUGGGAGACACUGAGACAUUGGGACACGGAGACACUAGGGACACAGUGUACCCAUGUCUCCCAGUGUCCCCAUGUCCCCCAGCCAGUGUCCCCAUGGCUCCCAGUUUCCCCUAGUCUUCCAGUGUCUGUGUCCCCUUGUCUCUCAGUGUCCCUAGUGACUCACAGUCCCCAUGUCUCACAGUGUCCCCAUGUCUCCCAGCCAGUGUCCUCUGUGUCUGCAUGUCUCCCAGUGUCCCCAAGUCUCCCACUGUCUGUGUCCCUAUGUCUCUCAGUGUCCAAAUGUCUUACAGUGUCUGCAAAUGUCUGUAUCCCCAUGUCUCCCAGUGUCCCCAUGUCUAUGUCCAAAAGUGUCCCCAUAUCUCCCAGUGUCCCCAAGUGUCAGUCUCCCAGCCAGUGUCCCUAGUGUCUCAGUGUCCCCUAGUCUCCCGGUGUCCUCUAGUAUCCCACUGUCUGUGUUCCCAUGUCUCUCAGUGUCCCUAGUGUCUUAAUAUCCCCAAAUGUUUCAGUGUCCCCAUGUCUCUGUGUCCCUAGUGUCUCAGUGUUCCCAUUUCUCCCAGUGUCCCCAAAUGUCUCAGUGCACCCAUGUCUCCCAGUGUCUUCAUGUUUCCCUAGUAUCCCCAUGUCUGUAUUCACAAGUGCCCCCAUGUCUCCCAGUGUCCCCAAGUAUCUCAGUGCCUCCAUGUCUCCCAGUGUCCCCAUGUCUCACUGUGUCCCCCAGUAUCCUAGUGACAUGGGGACACACUGAGACAUGGGGACACUGGGAGAAAUGGGGAUACUGAGACAAUGGGAGACUAGAGGACUCGGUGACAAGGGGACACUGACACUGUGAUACAUAGGGACACUGAGUGACUUGCAAGACUGGGAGACAGGGAGACACUGUGAGCAAUUCAUCUAUACAGCAGAAUCAAACUGUGAGUAGUUUGUUGGUGAUUUUACAGAAUUUUCUCUUAUGUAACUCCUUGUGAUUUACAUCAUGUGAUGUCACACAUAACUAAUUAAUUAUACAAAUGAUUAAGGCUGGUAUAUUUUUUCCAAGAAAGGUGGCAACCCUAACACCAUUCCCGGGUUAGGGCCCCCCCAUCCACUAACUACUCUUCACAUACUCUUGCUUAAAGGAACACCAUAGGGUCAGGAACACAAUCAUGUAUUUCUGACCCUGUUAUGUAAAAACCACCAUCUAGCCUCCCCUCUUGCCUCACUAAAUAUAGUAAAAUCUUACUUGUAUUCUGUAGUCUGCAGCUGCUGGCUCUGCGUCUGAACUGACUCUGUCUGCUGAAAUCAUCAGAAGUAGUGGUCUGAGCAAAUUACAAUGCUUCCCCGUAGGAUUGGCUGAGACUGUCAACUAGGCAGAUCAGAGGCAGAGCCAGCACAAGGCAAACAUAGCCCUGGCCAAUCAGCAUAUCCUCAUAGAGAUGAAUUGAAUCAGUGAAUCUCUAUGAGGAAAGUUCAGUGUCUGCAUGCAGAGGGUGGAGACACUGAAUGGCAGUGCUCCACACUAGGCAGUACUGCCCCAGGAAGCACCUCUAGCAGCUAUCUAAGGAGUGGCCAGUGGAGUAAUUUUCCCUGAAAAGACAGUGUUUACUGCAAAAAGCCUGGAGGGAAUGAUUCUACUUACCAGAACAAAUACAAUAAGCUGUAGUUGUUCUGGUGACUAUAAUGUCCCUUUAAGUUUUGAAGCUUAAGAAGGAUGUAUGGCAACAAAACUUGUGUGGACUGGCUGACAAUGAAAUUAGUUAAGGUAAUGCUGACUUUGGUCUCUCUAACACUGUGGAUUGUUCCCUUUCUUCUACACUCACUACAUCCACCUUUUCUCUGUCCCAGACUAUAUACCAGGAGCUUCUGCCUGCUAGUAAGAAGGUAAGGAGACAAGUGGACAUAUGAGUGCUAGAAAUAUUGGAGUAGGUGCAUCAUUAGACGCAUUUAUGCCAAGCUCAGGGGACUGUCUGCAUAGUAUGCCCUUAGUUGGACAGCCUGCAUGAUUGGCAGGCAGCCUUACAUGCAUUCAUGCCAGGCUGACCUUCCAAUUCUUUGGGCAGACAUGUCCCCUUUUUGGGCAUGUUCGUCCCUUUUGGCAGGUUACGUGAUUUGCGAAGGUGGCCCACGCUUUUACCCUAUCCAUUGACUUCCUGCUUCACGGGACACUGAUGUUAGGGGUUAUGGAUUCACUUGAAAGAAGAAAUCAUAAGUUAGAGAGAGAUUAGCAUAGAGUAUGUGUUUUCCUAUAUCUGCAUCCUUUGAGUUUCCCUCCAACACCCUCUCCAUCAGAUACAUGACGCUUGAGAGGUAUGACUGUUUUAAUGUUUUUGGUUGAUAAGAUUCUGUAAUUAGGCCCCAUCAUAAUUGUCAGCACCAGGUCCACUGGGCUCUUAAUCUGGCCCUGACUCCAGGCUGUAGUCUACUGAUAAAAACUGUUGGCAAUAUUUUUAUUUUUAAAUUGUAUGUGUAAAUUAGGACUUUACUUGCUAUGCCAUGGAUUUAAUUUAAACAAAGCAAAUUAACAAUAGUGGCUUAGCUCUUGGAUAUUUAAGCUAAAAAUAUAAAACCACUGAAUUUCUGUUUCUUUACCAGUUAUUGUCAGAUCUUCAUAUUCCAUUCUAAGGAGGUUGACAAAUGCAAUCAAUAGAGUAAUAGAUGAUGAACCAAAUAAAGGGUUUUGACUAUAAGGUCACCACGGAAUUAUUAUGCUGUGCUACACUAUCAUUUCAUUUUAGAUUAAAGUCUAACUGCAGAGAAACUGGGAUCGAUACUUCAGACUUGGUUAACUAAAACAGAGCAUUGGAUUCAAAGUAACAUUGUUCUAACAUAAAAUGUUACACUUUUAUAUGCAUUCAUACUUUACAAUUUGCUAUAUAUUAUUUUUAAAUUGUCUUUCAUUUAUCAUAUUAUAAUGAAUGUAUAGUAAUUUUUGUGUGUUAUAUUGGAUAUUUCUAACAUGACAGAAUACUAUUGCAUAUAAGGUCUGAGAGUGAAAAAUUCCUUCAGCUUGCCAUUUCUCAAGGAUAUUUUCAUCACCAAAGUAGAUAUUCAUCAUGCUACCUGUCUGUCCAUAUAUCUAUGUAUUGUCUGUCUCUCUCUCUCUUUCUCUCUCUGUAUCUAUCUAUCUAUCUAUCUAUCUAUCUAUCUAUCUAUCUAUCUAUCAUCACUCAGUCCAUCCAUUCUAUUACAAAUGUGUUAUUCAUUCUAUUAUCUGUCUAGUCUGCUCACACAAAAGAGUUACUGUAGCUCAAAUUGCUGAGAAACAUAAUGCUGGCCAUGAUAGAAAGGUGUCAGAACACACAGUGCAUCAAAGUUUGCUGUGUAUGGGGCUGCAUAGCUGCAGACUGGUCAGAGAGUGCCCAAGUUGACCCCUGUCCACUGCCAAAAGUGCCUUCUGACGUGAGCAUCAAAACUAGACCACGGAGCAAUGGAAAAAACUUUCAGGACCUAAAGGGUCUGCUGCUAAUGUCUUGGUGCAAGAUACCAGAGGACAAAUUCAGAGUUUUUGUUUCUUGUGAAAUCCAUGACUUGAUGCAUCAGAGCUGUUUUGGAAGCACGUUAUAUUAGGCAGGUGGUUUUAAUGUUGUGGUUGAUCAGUGUAUAUAAAUAUAUAUGUAUUUCCACAGAUAAUGACCACUCACUGGGUUGGUUCUCCUCCCAAAAGUCUAAUUUAAUAUAACCAAGGAAUUUGAUGUUUCCAUGCUACCACAGGACCUUUAUCAAGAUAAAUAACAAACAGUGUCAAAAAAAUUAACUAGCAAUAGCUUAUAACAACAUACAUCAUAAACAACAGUGCAAACCAGACUCAUGGUGAAGUAAUUACAUCUCCCAAUCACCUGAGAAGAAAUGUUCAGUAAGCAUCUAAGCAGGACAAUAUAAAGAAAUCUUAGACUUGCUGGAUGCAUUCACAAAUGGAUCCACUCUUAAAAGUACAUAAUACAAAGUUGUUUUGGGGGUUAGAAUGGGAAGUGAGAGAUGCUAAAUUAGUACCUAACCCUAACUUUAACCCUAAAUGACCCACAGCCCUGUGCUGCAGUGAAUGCCCUAACUAUAAUGUGAGUGUGACGGUCGCUUAGUACACCACUGUGCAGCAACCAACUGCCACUGCAGUCCUUCAAGUUAGAUUGUGAACAUAACAUUUCUAUAUGUAAGUUCCAUGAAACCCCAAUGCUAUAAAGCAGUAUGACUUUUUUUUUACUUCCCUGGUGAUAUGUUUUAAGGUCAGCAAAUGUUUUAAAGAUUUUACUUGGCUCCUAAAAUUACAUGAUCCUUGUUGCAAACAUUGAGUCAUCUGAGAUGAAACUAGAUUUGUCCAAAUGCAAAUUCCAUGGGUCCAAAUGUAGGGGAUGGGCUAGUGACACAAAUCACAUCACUGGCGCUGCCCAAAGGGCAAGACCACCCCAGCAUGGCGACGGGUUGGUUCCAGUCCUCUCUGCAUGGUCCUAGUGUCUCAAGUGGUUUAAUGAUGCACUCACGAUACACUUUUUGGGGAAUGUUCUCUGGUGUCCCCAAAAGCGGGACAAAAGAAACAAACCUGGAAGGACGGGACUUUCCUGCCAAUAUCUGAAUGAUUGGGAGGUUUGAAGUUGUCACCUAAUCAAAUAGUGACAUUUCCCCUCCUGUAUCGAAAAAUAUUUAAAAUAUUUGUAUGGGACAGGUUUUUGGAAUAUGUAGUUCAGCCAACAACAGCAGUACUGUUGAUUACAUCAGAUGGUGUCCAGCUUUUGCAGAUCUGCAGAAGCCAGAUUCAUGUCAGAGGAGGCUCGGUGCCCAGUGGGACCCAGGUUUGCUCCAUUCCUGGGAAUGGUACCAGGUUUUAAUCAGUGAAACAGGUUGUAGUGAGUACGAUGCUUGAAUAGAUCCUUUAAUCUAGCAACAACUCUAUUCACAGCUAGAGCUAUACACUAUGAAAGGAGGCAUGUCUUGUACAUUGUCAUAGAGCCAUUUAGGGCAGGGUGCACAAAUGCAUCCACGCAGCAUAGCAUAGUGUAUACACUCCCCGUAUACCGCGACAAGUGCUCAGUGAAUACAACAACAAAAAAUGUCAACUUAACUUAUAAAGAACAACUUCCCAUGGUAACCUUCCCAGAUGGUUACCACAAUAACCAAAUAUGUCUGAAGAAAGAAAAAUAGGAUACAGCUGUAUAAUCUGAAAAGAAUAUAUCAAGAGAACAUAGUGUGAUAAUGUUAUAAAUGAAUAAAGUGACAAGCUUAUUAGAUUGCACCCACAGAAUGCCUCCCCUGAUGGUAAUGGGGGGGCUACACAGACAUCUUCACUUUCACUGAUGUUUAAAUCCAAGAACCGAGACUUACCUGUUGAUAUAUUCUUUUCACAUUAUACAGCUGUAUCCAAUUUUUCUUUUUACAUACAUAUACAAAUAUUAGUAUAUGCAAAACAAUAAGUAUAUCUCAUGACCUGUAUGAGGAUAGUGGUUUUCAAAAAACAAACCAAAACAAAAGCAUAAUGCACACACUACAAAAGGCAGAAAACUUCCUGCAGGGUGCUCUAGAAAGGGAGAGCCAAUCCCUAGAGACAUACAAAGGAAGAAAAGAAAUAUCCAGGCACACCUGAGACUAUUUCUAAAAGCAGUUUUUUUUUAUUUGGCUGGCUGCCUUUUAGAUGAAACCUCAGAUGCGCCUGGAUAUUUAUUUUCUUCCAUUCUAUGUGAAAGUGAACACAUUUAAACCUGUCGAGAUUUUUGCAAAUCACUGCAGUUUUUAAUCAACUAUGUGCAAUGAGACAGAGGCAGCAUACUUCCCAAGUGUCCCUGUUUUAUAGGGACAGUCCUUAUUUUGAGCUCAAAUCAAUCUGUCCCUCUUUUCCAUCCUAGUGUCCCUCUUUUAUAGGAUCUCCAUAUUGUUGAUGUGUCAGAGUAUAUAACAGAGCACCACAGCAAUAAUACUCACAAUAUUGUGUCUUUUUUAUUUUUUAUUUUCAGCUGUGCAUGAGGAUACAGAAAUACUCGUAGUGCCACGACAGCAGAUACAAGCUCAACCACAACAUAUAUGUUGAAUUACAAGCAUGGCAAUAGAAAAGUCAGCACAUUUUUUUUUUUUUUUUAAUAAUAGCCAACCAUCUUGGCUUAGCUGAGUGUAGAUGGUAGAUGUUGCCAGACUAAUGUACUCUAUAUACUCAUAUGCCUGGAGUUUGUUGGGUCUCUGUUUGCAUGUUCAUGGUAUGCUAGUGGUGUCAACUACUAAUGAGUAAGCUGGUGAAAAUGCAGGAGGAGACAUUUCUCAGUACCCAUGUGACAAAGGACUUGUGUGAAGAGGACAUCUGGUGUUAUAUUUUAAGAAGAGACAAGGCAGGAAGCAUAUUAACAGUGAUUGCUUAUGAACUGUACAGUCCAGCUAAGUAGAUAUGGUCUGUCCCGUCCGGCCCAGCCAAGUUUACAUGCGUGUCUAAGUGGAAGUGUAUUGCCUCCCAGGGGGGGCCCUGGCAAACAAGGUGCUAGUGUCACACAAAAAUAGAAAAAAGGUACAUAAACAUGAAUAUAGACAGUCAUUUUCUUGUGGUUGAGGUUGAGGUGCACGCUGCCUCUGCCAUCUUAGGUAGUUCACCGAUAGGUAGGGAUUCUGCUUGUUUUCACUUGUAAAUUGGGCAACCUUCCAGGAGGGGACCAGGAUCCCCGCCAGUCCAGGGGGGAGAAGAGGUAAGGGGGUGCCUGUGUAGGAUUCAUGGUCCCCGUGCACCGUUACAGAAGAUCAGCCGCAUCUCCAGCUCGGCGCUCACUUGGUUGCAUUUUCCGUGGUGGGCCUGAUAAACCCCCGGUGCGAUUCCAACCUCCUCCCCGUUGAGCAGGAAGGUGAGGCUGCAUGAAUUUCUGGCCCAGAUCAGGCAUUAAGGUGCCGUUAAAAGCUGUAAUUGUGGGGUUUGUGGAGGAGCUCGUCCGAAGCAAGUCUAGCCUACAUUAUAGUCAGGCUCCACCAAUAUUGUGUCUUUAAAAUACAAUAAAUGUGUUUACAAAUCAGUCUGUGUAAAUAAGAAACAUUAUUCUUGUUCCAAAUUUAAUUUUAGCUGCAUACAUUGUUCAUUGUUUAUUUCUGUCUGUACCUGGCCACACAUCCAGGAUUACCCCUAAAAUUAACCCCUUAACGCCGUUACGGCGUUCUAUGCCGUCCUGCAUUAAGUGGGCUUUAAAGCCAUUGCGGAGGCAUAGAACGCCGUAACGGCAUUGAGCCCUGGAGCGCCCGGGAUACUUACCUACCUGGCGCUCUGGAUCGGGAGGACUGCCUCACAGCCCAGGCAGCCCUCCCACGGUAAAAGAAGCCCCCGGGGGCCAUGUGAUCGCUCUCAAAGAGCGAUCACAUGGCCCCCUAUAGCUGGCUGUGGAUCUGCCAGCAGUAGGGCUGUCUGAAAUGUCAGACAGUCCCCCUGCUGAUGGGAAAGUAAAUAUUAUAUUAAAUAAAUAUUAUUAAACAUGUUAUAAAAUAAAAUAAAUAUAUUUAUAUAUAUAUAUUAUAUAUAUAUAUUAUAUAUAUAAUAUAUAUACAUAUUAUAUAUAUGUAACGUCAUACAUAGCGUAUUUUAAUAUUAAUAUAAGCACAUAUAUUAGUAUUAAAAUACACUUAGAAUGAUGUUACAUAUAUACAUAAUAUGUAUAUAUUAUAUAUAUAAUAGAUAUAUACACAUAUAUUAUAUAUAUAUAUAUAUAUAUAUAUAUAUAUAUAAUUACAAUAAUAAAUAAAUAAAAUAAUACAAUUAAUAAAUAAAAUAUUGAAACAAAAUUUAAUAUAAAUUAUAUAUUCAUAUGUAAUUUCAUUCUAGCUGUAUUUUGUUAUUAAUUUAUAUAUAUUGGUAACAAAAUACACUUAGAAUGACAUUCUAUAUAUAUUUAUCUAUAUAUAAAAUACAAAUAACCGCAAAUAUAUAUAUAUAUAUAUAUAUAUAUAUAGAUAAAUACAUGUAAUUACAUAAAAGAUUACAUUAGUAUACACGUAGAAUUUAAAUACCUAUAAAUGCAUAUAUAUUAAAAUUCUACAUGUAUAUUUAAGUAAUCUUUUCACAUAAUUAGGUGAUUUGAUUAAUUAAAAUUUGAUUGACAUGCCUGACAACACAGGGAGAAAGUGCAGAGAAUUUAAUUCGCAAGACACAGAUUUACUCGGAAGACUUAGCUGAACUCAAAUAUUAGUGUUUCAAACUGGUAAAUUGUAUUACAACGAUGAUAUUUUAAGUAAAAGUGACGUUUUUUGCAUUUUUUACAAAUGAACGGCACUUUUAAGGACUAUAUUAUUGUUGUAAUAUGUUUUACUGUUUUAAAACACUGAUAUUUGUGUUUAGUGAAGUCUCCCGAGAAUAACAGUACCCCUCAUGUACAGGUUUUAUGGAAAGUUAGAGAGUCACAUAUAAGGCUUGCAUUUCAUUUUUUUGACAUUGAAAUUUGCCAGAUUGGUUAUAUUGCCUUUGAGAGCGUAUGGUAGCCCAGGAAUGAGAAUUACCCUCAUGAUGGCAUACCAUUUGCAAAAGUAGACAACCCAAGGUAUUGCAAGUGGGGUAUGUCCAGUCUUUUUUAGUAGCCACUUAGUCACAAACACUGGCCAAAUAUUAGUUUUUUGCUUUUUUCACACAAAAACAAAUAUGAACGGUAACUUUGGCCAGUGUUUGUGACUAAGUGGUUACUAAAAAAGACUAAACAUACCCCACUUUCAAUACCUUCGGUUGUCUACUUUUUCAAAUGGUAUGCCAUUAUGGGGGUAAUUCUCAUUCCUGAGCUACCACACCGUCUCAAAGGUAACAUUACUAAUCUGGCAAAUUUCAAUUUGAAAAUGGAACGUUCUAUAUUUGACCCUGUAACUUUCCAAAACACCAUAAAACCUGUUAAUGGUGGGUACUGUUGUACUCGUGAGACAUAGCUAAUUACAAAUAUGUGCAUUUUUUUGCAGUAAAACCUAACAGUAUUAUGACAUUCACAGCUAAAAUGUCAGAUGGAAAUACAAAUUUAAAAAAAAAAAAUCUUAUUUUCUCACAUUUUUUUUAAAUUUUAUUCAUAAUAAAUUAUGUUCCAUAUAUGAAUAGUUAAUGAUAAAUUAAAGCCCUGUUUCUCUUGAACAAAAUUAUAUAUAAUAAGUGUGGGUGCACUUAAUGUGACCGUGGUGAAUUACGGUUGAACAGACAUAUAGCGCAAAUUCCAGUUUUUGUUUACGUUUUGUUUUGAUCAGAACGUGCACUAUUGACUCCAUCCUGAAGGGGUUAAAGUGUCCCUUUAUGUCCAUUUGAAAUGUUGGUAGGUACAGUAUGUGGCUAUGAUAGAAGUAUACAUAGUUAUGAUGCUUGGAGUGUCCACUGUGGCUGCUCACUGAGCGGCGGGUGGGGGCUCUAAAUACCAAUAAGGGGGGGACCUAUUGUGGCCCCCCUGGCCCCCAACCCUGAGUGGUGGGUGGGGGCCCUAAAUAUCAAUAAGGGGGGACCUAUUGUUCUCCCCCCGAGCCCCCACCCCUGAGCGGUGGUGGGGGCCAUAAAUAAGAAUGUUGAGGGGACCUACUGUCCUCCCCCGUGGCCCCCACCCCUGUGCGGUGGGUGGGGGCCUUAAAUGACAAUAAGGGGGGGGACCUACUGUCCUCCCCCUGGCCCCCACCCCUGAGCAGUGGGUGGUUGCCAUAAAUAAGAAUUUUGAGGGAGGACCUACUGUCCUCUCCCCCAGCCCCCACCCAUGCAUGGUGGGUGGGGGCCAUAAAUAAGAAUGUGGUGGGGGACCUACUGUCCCCCCCCGGCCCCCACCCCUGAGUGGUGGGUGGGGGCAAUAAAUAAAAAUUGGGGGGGACCUAAUGUCAUCCCCUCCGGCCCCCACCUCUGAGCAGUGGGUGGGAGCCAUAAAUAAAAAUUGGAGGGGAACCUACUGUCCUCCCCCUUGGCCCCCACCUCUGAGCAGUGGGUGGGAGCCAUAAAUAAAAAUUGGAGGGGGACCUACUGUCCUCCCCCCUGGCCCCUACCCCUGCACAGCGUGUGGGGGCUCUAAAUAACAAUACAACCCCUAGUCACCCCCUUCCCCCCAAAAAAAUAACCCCUACCUACCCCCCUGAUUCCUAAAAAUAAUGAGGGGGACCCUUAUCUAAAUACCUGUAAAAAAAAAAAAAAUAGAUUUACCAUUUAAUGUCUUCUUUCUUCUAAACUCUUAUUUUUUCAGCCCCAAAAAAGGCCAAAUAAAAAUCUAUAAUAACAGACGCACUUUAAAAAAAUCAAUUUUCACCCAUGGAGGGCUCCGCGCAGACUGAGCUCUGCAGGACGGGGGAAGGCUUAUAAAGCCUUGCCCCGCCCUGCAAUUAGGCUCGGAGCACUUUGAUUGGUGGGUUUAAGCCAUCCAAUCAGAGUGCUCUGACAGGUAAAUGAAGAGACGGACAGGUAAGUCUCUACAUUUACCUGUCACAGCACUCUGAUUGGUUGGCUUGAAAUCCACCAAUUAGAGUGCUCCGUGUCAUUUUACACAGCGUGGGAAAACUCCAAAGAACUUUCCCACGCUGUGCAAAAUGACACAGAGCACUCUGAUUGGCUGGAUUUCAAGCUAACCGCUCAGGGGUGGAGGCUCGGGGGAACAGGUGUCCCUCCUUUAUUGUUAUUUAGGGCCACCAACCGCGCACGGUUGGGGUCAGGGGGGAGGACAGCAGGUCCCCUCUCCCAUUCUUAUUUAUGGCCCCCACCCACCGCUCAGGGGUUGGGGCCGGGGGAAGACAGUAGGUCCCCCCUCCACAUUCUUAUUUAGGGCCCCCACCCGUCGCACAGGGGUGGGGGCAAUAGUUUUUUUUUUUUUUUACAGUGAGCAGCCACUGGCUGCUUACUGUUUAUUAGACACACCUCUACUCGCGGUAUAGUGAGUAGGGGCUUAAUUUACUAAUACUAAGUAAUUUUUACUUAGUAUUAGUAAAUUUGGCUGAAAGACCAAUUUAGAUCUUUAAGCCUUUUGGUAGAUAGCUCCCUAAUACCGUGGGAAUUAGGGAGUUAUCUACUAAGCGGCUGCUUAUUUAAUGUAUUUUAUGUUAUUUUAAGUGAUUUCCCUUGUCACUUGUCCUUCACUUGUCCUACUCUUACCCCCAUUUUACUUACUUUUGCAGCCCUCUAGCCCUUUACAGGACUUUUUUAGAGCCAUUUUUGUGCCCAAAUGUUCGGGGUCCCCAUUGACUUCAAUGGGGUUUGGGUUCGGGGUCAAAUCCGGGGGCCGAACAUCCAGGUGUCCGCUCAACUCUAGUUACAAUCAUACUCAAACUCAUUGUCAGGUUUUUUAAAGGGUUUUGUCUCCUUUUAUCAAGGAUUACAUGUUUGCAUAUUAUGCUUUUAUUCAGAAGCACGUUUCAUCUGUGUUAUACUAGUGGGUGUAGGACUGUUUGAGUUUUUUUAAAGGAACACUCAAACAUUAAUUUCUAAAGUUUUGGCUGCUCAAAUAAGCAUCUCUCAUAGCGAAGCAUUACAAGCAUCUCCCAUAGAGAGUUGCAGAGCGUAUUGUAGUGAACAGAAAAACAAAUUGUGCAAUUUAUUCAAUAAUAUACAUAUAUUCUUUAACUGUAGUUACAGUUUAGCUAUUUUAGCCUAAAUAUUACAGUUAUUAUUAUAUUUUUUUAAUUCACUACAUGUUGUAGUUUAGUGAAUAAUCCGCUGUGUGUCUCCCUUUCUAUUGUACUCUCUAUCUAUUUCUGACUUUUAUUUUAGACAUGUAGAAGUUAUCUCUCUUCAUUUCUCACCAGUUGGGAAUAAUGAUAGUUAGCUUUGCCACUGCAUAUUUGCCACAUUUUCCUUGAUUCUUUGUCUUUCAGUGUUAAUGGACAUUUUACAGAGUGUCAGAAAACCCAAUGGCAGUUUGCCACACAAACAAAACAACAUUCUUGGCCUGGAAUUUGUGGCCCCUAAUGAAAGCACUGAGCUCAGUGUUGCAGGCAGGCUUGAGAAAGAUAUGUUAAUAAUAAUAAUAAUAAUAUAUAUAUAUAUAUAUAUAUAUAUAUAUUUAUUUAUUUUUUUAAAUAGAUAUUUGCAAGAUGGACAUUCAAAAACAGUAUCAUCAAAAUUAAAUACCACAAAUAUUUGUGUUUACAAACCAAAGUGCAUUGAGUGCAAAUCAAAAUAUUAGCAGAAAGAAACUUCCCUGUAUAAGGUGACGUUUCAAGGGUACCCCGAAGACUUCCUCUUGUCUUCCACAAAAUAUGUAUGCAAAAAAAAUGAGGAGUAUCUGCUAAACCAACAGAAAGCAAAACAACAUAGCAUAUAAUUGUGUGGAUAGUGUUCGGAAAUAUUGCAACCCCAAGUGUUCACUCACACUUUCAAUUAAGUAAUAAAGCCUUGUAUAAAUUCCCUUCCAAGGGUUGAGUCUCCUGGAUAUAUUCAAAUCACCAUGUAUAGGCUGGAAAACAUGUACUCAAGAGAAAAAAAAAAUUGUAGUGCAAAAUCAAGUGUGUAGUAAAAAAACUAUUUAUUAACUUACAUAUAGGUUUAAAACAGUGGAUGUAAUAAUUUAAAGUCACCACUAGGCGUCCUACACAUUUCAUCAAUAUGAAGGACUUCCUCAGGGACUUAACAAUGUCAGGUAACAAUCCAAAAUGAAUUCCCCCCCCCCUUCCCCCAGCCCUUUUAUACCCCCUCUAUUGUCCAUAAAAGUCUUUAACCACUUAAUAACGCAUUCUAUGCCGUCCCUAUUUUGCUGGCUCCAAACGCCGCAGGGCAGCAUAGAACUCCCUGCGAUCUUAUGUACUUACCCGGUCGCCGGUGAUCACACACUGGCGAUCGUGGUAUGGGGACUUACCUAGGAGCCCAGGGAGUCCCCCUCCAUCCUCUUCGGCCUUGCAAGGACCUCGUGAUCACAUGGACGGCAUAGCCGUCCAAGGCAUUGCCAGCAGGGGGAGUGCCUGUAAUGACAGGUACUCCCCCUGCUGUCUGGAAAUAAAAUCAAAACCAUUAAAACAGUGUAAAAAUAAAUAAUAUAUACUUAUAUCAUAAAUAUAUUUACUAUAAAUAUGAUAUAAGUAUAUAUACACACAUAUACACACAUACACAUACACUGUCUAAGUGUAUUUUAAUAUUAAUAUAUACAUAAUUAUAUAUAUAUAUAUUAAUAUCAAAAUACACGUACAAUGAUUUUGGUUAAAUAUAUAUAAGUUUCAUUAUAUAUAUAUUUAUAUAUAAUAAACAAUAAAUAAAUAUGUAAAUAUGUUAAAAAAUAAAAUUAAAAAUAAAUAAUAAAUAAAUAAAAGUAUAUAUACAUGUGUAAUUUUGUUCUAACUGUAUUUUAAAAUAUAUAUAUAUAUAUAUUGAUAUCAAAAUACAUGUAGAACAAAAUAAUAUAUAUAUAUCUAUAUACAUAAGUAUAUACGUAUAUAUCACUAUAUAUUUAAAAACAAGACGUGUAAGCGCUAAAUAACACAAUACGGCAGCAAUCCUAUACGGGAAUCCCUCAAAAACCCUUAGACAUAACACAGAGAGAAAAAAUAAAAAUAAGGGCUGCGCCAAGUGAAACUGAGUAUGAAAGGAAUAGUCCAGAUAAAAUAAGUAAAUAAAAAGAGAAAGUCUUAACUAGAGACGUCUGUUGAAGUCGUAUUGUAUAGCAAUACUUGGUCCAGAACAAUUGUCCUUAUUGUUUUCUUCCUUAUGGAUCAGCUCAUAUGCAAGAGAUAAAAAAUAAAUAGAGAGCCAAAUAGUGUAGUAUGUUUGAUAGUUGUGGAAGCAAAAGUAUAAAAAUCUGGAAUGCAAACUCACAUUUAAAAGAGCUAGAACCCGCUCUGGUGUGAAAGGCGUACUGCGGUUUGAUCCCUGCUUAUGGGAUAUGAAGUAAAUUUCCUUCGUCUGUAAUAUGUUUCCUCCGUCCAUGAUAUGAUAAGCACUCGGGUAGAAAGAAACAGCCAAUAGUGUUCACUGGGUAAGAAACUUUUAGAUAAAAUAAAAACAAGCUUUCUCCAUAUUGAUAACACCCUAUUGGCGAAACACAUUUAUGGUUAUUAUUUUGUGUAUUUUUAAAUAUUAAAGUAUAUUUGAUUACUUUUAAUUGUACCACUUAUCUUUUAAUACACGCUAAUCUACUUUUUAUCUGGCAUCCUUUUAUCACACCGGACUCCAAGUAAUCCUAGGUGGGGAUCAUACCACCAGCGCUAACAAGAAGGAGCAGUUGAUCUGCUUCUAUCUUGUGAGUACCCAUUUUAUUUUAUUCCUGGGCUACCAUAUGGUCUCAAAGGCAACGUAACCAAUCUGACGAAUUUCAAUGUGAAAAAACUGAAAAAUGUAACAUGCUAUAUUUGACCCUGUAACUUCCCAAAACACCAUAAAACCUGUAGAUAGGGGGCACUGUUUUACACGUGAGACAUAGCUGAAUACAAAUAUGUGUAUUUUUUAUUGCAGUAAAAGCAAACAGUAUUUUGACAUUCACAGUUAAAAUGUCACGUAGAACUAAGAAAAUUUUAAAAAAAUCUUAUUUUUUCCCAUUUUUUUUAUAUUUUAUUCAUAUUAAAUUACAUUCCAUACCUAAAUAUUUGAUGUUAAAUGAAAGCCCUGUUUCCCCUGAAUAAAAUGAUAUAUAAUAAGUGUGGGUGCAUUUAAUAUGAAAGAGGUGAAUUACGGUGGGACAGACAUUUAGCGCAAAUGCCAGGUUUUGUUUACGUUUUGUUUUGAUAACAACUUGUACAUUUGGCUGCGGUCUUAAGGGGUUAAUUACUUACAGCUGUUCGUCCGAUUUUGUCCAGGUGUGAUGACGUCAUCAAGCAUUACGUCUGAUGAUGUCAUGCAUUCCACUUUGCAUUCCAUGGCCAUCAACCCGUAAAUAAGUGAAGUUUAUAGUCUCUGUGCUAGUUCUUGUACUUAAUUUGUGUGUUAAAAACUCACAAAAAUGGUAAGAGAGAGGGAAGUGGGGGGGAGGGGGGAGAAAAGGGUUAGGGAAUUCAACACUAUUUGCACUAAUAGGUAAAAAGUAGAAUACAAAAUAGACAUACUGAUAAAAGAAAUGAAGUAAAUAAGGAAUGUAUAACAAAAAAGAGGUACAUGAAAGUGAAAGUAUAAAAUAAAAUAAAAAAAUGUAAAUAAACAUGAAAAUAAAAACAACAAAUCGAAUAUGAAAAUAUAAAAUAUGAAAAGAAAAUAAAUACGAAAAAAAUUAUUUUAAGAAAAAAAUGAAACAAGCAAUAAAAUGAAAAUAAAAUAAGAUAAAGAUAAAAAAACAAAAUAGAUAAAUAAAUUAAUUUAAAAAUAUAGAAAAAAUAUAUGAUGAGGAGGGAUAAAAUGAUCUAAUCAUCAAAAUAAAAUUGGAACAGAAACACACAACCAACUAUAUAUAGAGACAUGGAACAAGGUAAAUUUCUGAGACAUAGAUUGGGCCAUAAAUUCCCUAUUUAGUGAAUAUAGGACAGAAAAAAUUAUCUUAAAUACAGGCCAUAUGUGUAUAAUGUAUUGCAUUGUUCCCAUAAGAUAAUUAUUAGGUAGACUUUUUGAUCACACAUGGGAAUUUCUCUUUUUAUUUUCUUUUGUUAUUAAUUUUUUUUUUUAUUAUUUUAUUUCUAUUUUUAGAUUUAGAUGUUCUUCUAAAAAUGCCCCACAAAAGGAGGGAAUUGCCAUGUAUAAAAAAUAUUUAUUAUACAUGGAAACAUUUAGCACACAUAAAAAAGACCUUUAGUUAUUUUACUAAGAUAAUGGGAAAAGUGCAAUAUUUACAUUAACGUGGCAUAACUGCACAUAUUUUAAUCCUCCAAGAAAAAACAUAAAUCUAUAUCCAAGUUGAGUCCACAAAGUUGUAAUGUUUUUAACUUGUUUAUCCAAAAGGUUUCCCUUUGUGAAUGUUUGUUUAGUUCUAUUACCCCUUUUUUAAUGGGGUUGAUAUGUUCAAUGCUCAUGAAAAAUAAAUCUUGCCAAUUAAACUUCCUGCAACUAUUGCAGUGUAUCUGUACUAUAUGUUUAUUAUAAUUUUUCCUGAUGUUAUUUUGAUUCUCUCUUUUAAUUUUUGAUAGGUUCUCCAUGUAUAUUGUUUCCCACACGGGCAUUGUAACAUAUAAAUGACAUACUUGGUAUUACAAUUUAUAUUUUCUUUUACUUUGAUGCUUUCCUUGGGAAUUGUGCUUUAAAAGUAAUAAUACUUUUCAUAAUAUGGGAUCUUUACAAAAAAUAUUCCAAUGUUUGUUUAGGAUGUUUCUUAUUUUCUAAUGUUGUGUGUUAAAUUAAAUAAUGAAGUAAAAUGCAUUUCUGUCUCUGUUUUCAAUUUCCUUGAUUUCCCUUUCCAAUAAUAAUGGUUUGUACUUUUUGGUUGAAAAUGUAUUUAUUAAGUUCUGUGCCUGUUCUCUGUAAUCCAAAUGUUUUGUACAAUUACAUCUUACUCUUCUUACUCUUUUUAAUUGGCCUCUUGGGAUAGUUUCCAGCCAUUUUUCAUAGUCACAACUUUUUCUAUGUAUAUAACUAUUGCUUUCUGGUUUUUUUAAAUGACAUUUCGAUUGUGUGAUUUUAUUUUCCACAUAAAAACAAACAUCCCAAAAAUUUAUUGUUUUUGAAUUAACAACAUGAGUGAACCUUAGACCAUAAUCAUUAUUAUUAAUGUAGCUUAAGAAAAGUUGUAAUUCAUCAUGGUUACCCCCCAAAUCAUUAAAAUAUGGUCAAUAAAACGUUUUCAAAGGACCAGGUUCGCUACCCAGCCAUGCCCCCUCCAAAGGUAGUCGGAUUCCCAAUCUUGCAUAUAGCUAUCGGGGGCGAACCUGGUCCCCAUCGUCGUGCCAGUUGUUAGGAGAUAAAAAGAGUUAUCGAAAAGAAAAUGAUUAUUCUUUAAAAUGAAAUAUAUGCUUUUGAUUAAAAAUUAAAAAUUCUCGGAAUUCAGAUGAAACAUUUUCAUCCUCCUCCAUGACUCUUUCAACUUGGGGAAACUAUUCCACAAGGCCAAUUAACAAGAGUAAGACGUAAUUGUUCAAAAUAAUUUGAAUUACAGAGAACAGACACAGCACUUAAAAAAUAAUUUUUUAACCAAAAAGUAUGAACCAUUAUUAUUGGAAAGGGAAAUCGAAGAAAUUGAAAACAGAGGCAAAAAGGAACUUAUGAUACAGAAAAUAAAAAAGAAAAUAGAAAAUGAUUAUACAUUUUCCUUCAUUACUCAAUUUAACACACAACAUCGGAAAAUAAACAUUGAGAUAUCUUAUGUAAAGAUCUCAUAUUAGGAAAAGUACUACCAUAAAAGGCACUAAUUAUUUUCAGGAAAACGAGGAAUCUAAAAAACCUACUAGCUCCAAGUUAUGCACUAAAACCUUCAAGAAUUUUUUCUUGCAGAAAUACCCUUGUAACUAUGUAACUAUGUAACCCUUAACCCCUUAAGGACCAAACUUCUGGAAUAAAAGGGAAUCAUGACAUGUCACACAUGUCAUGUGUCCUUAAGGGGUUAAUGCUACGCUGUUUUGCUUGACAUUUCAAGUGCAGUGUAAGAUGAUGCCUGACUUGCAUAGUAAUGUGCAACAAUUGUCCAGACUUAUCACUGGCAUCAGUUGUUUAACCUGCAUAGUUUAAUUUUGUAAUAUAACAUAAAAUGAGGCAGUUCUACGCUGGAGUUUAUGUCUUUGCGCUGUUUCUGUGCAACAUGUGUUCUCUUUGCCGUGACUCCCUGCUCUACACUAUGCACUGUUUUAUCUCUUGCCUCAAUAAAAUAAAGAAUGACAAAAAAAAAACCUCCAAGAAAAAGCACUUUAUUCAUAUGUAAAGAUUUUAGUCCCUGCAAUACAUGUAAGGCUUGUAAAAAUCAAAGAUAUAAACGUACAAAGGAAAUUAGAAGCACAAUUACCAAGGAAAGCUUCAAAGUAAACGCAAAUAUAAAUUGUAAUACCAAGUAUGUCAUUUAUAUGUUACAAUGCCCGUGUGGGAAACAAUAUACAUGGAGAACCUAUCAAAAAUUAAAAGAGAGAAUCAAAAUAACAUCAGGAAAAAUUAUAAUAAACAUAUAGUACAGAUACACUGCAAUAGUUGCAGGAAGUUUAAUUGGCAAGAUUUAUUUUUCAUGGGCAUUGAACAUAUCAAUCCCCAUUUGAGAGGGGAUAAUAGAAUUAAAAAAACUUUCACAAACGGAAACCUUUUGGAUAAACAAGUGAAAAAACUUACAACCCUGUGGACUCAACUUGGAUAAAGAUUUAUGGUGUUUCUUGGAGGAUUACUACAUCUGCACUUAUGUCACAUUAAUGUAAAUAUUGUACUUUCCCCAUUUUUUAGCAGAACAACUAACUAUAGGCCUUUUUUUUUAUACAUGUGCUAAAUAUUUCCAUGUAUAAUAAAAAAAUGUUUUUAUGCCAAUCCCGUCCUUUUUUUAGUCAUUUUUUAGAAGGACAUCUAAAAAUAGAAAUAACAUUUUAAAAAAAAAAUGUGAUCAAAUAGUAUGCCUAAUUAUUACCUUUUGGGAACAGUGCAAUACAUUAUACACAUAUGUCCAGUAUUUAAGAUGAUUUUUUUCUGUCCUAUAUUCACUAAACAGGAAAUUUAUGGUCCAAUCUACUGUGUCUCAGAAAUGAAUUUUGUUCCAUGUCCCUAUAUAUAGUUGAUUGUAUUUUUCUGUUGCAAUUUUAUUUUGAUAAUUAGAUCAUUUUAUCCUUCGUCAUCAUAUAUUUUUAAUAUUUUUUAUUUAUUUCUUUACCUGUUUUGUUUUUUUCUUUAUCUUAUUUUCAUUUUUUAUUGCUUGUUUAAUUUUUUUCUUAAAAUUAUUUUUUUCAUGUUUAUUUGCAUUUUUUAUUUCUUACUUUCACUUUUAUGUACCUCUUUUUUCUUAUACAUUCCUUAUUUACUUCAUUUCUUUAAUAAAUGUGUCUAUUUUUUAUUCUACUUUUUACCUAAUAGUGCAAAUAGAGUGUUGAAUUCCCUAACCCUUUCCCCCACACCCCCCUUCCCUCUCUCUUACCAUUUUUAUGAGUUUUUAACACACAAAUUAAGUACAAGACUGAGCACAGAGACUAUGAACUUAACUUAUUUCCGGGUUUCACGGCCGUGGAACGCAAAGUGGAAUGCAUGACAUCAUUGGACAUUGUGUGAUGACGUCAUCGCACCUGGACGAAAUCGGACGAACAGCUGCAAGAAAAUAAAUAAUUUUAUGGACAAUUGAGGGGGUAUAAAAGGACUGGGGAGGGAAGGGUUGGUUAGUAAUCAAUUUGAAUUGUUACCUGACAUUGUUAAGUCUCUGAGGAUGUCCUUCAUACGGACGAAAUGGAAGGGAAUUAUAUACAAGGCUUUAUUAUUUCUAAGUGGCCAUUUGGGAUUGCAAUAUUUUGGAACAUUAUCCACACAUUUAUAUGCUAUGUUGUUUUGCUUUCUGUGGUUUAGCAGAUAGUCCCCCUUUUUUUUUGCAUUCAUCAAACCAGGAAAUGAAGUAAUCCACAACUGACCACGAUAGGAUCACAAGGGGCAUAAAAAGGAUUCUAAGAAAAAAUAAAAAUAGGGUUCACACUAAGCUCUUUACCAUGGUAGUAAAGUACCUUGAUAAAAAGGAAGUAUUUUUCUGAAGUGAGGGGGUGUGACUAAAAAGGCAAGCUUGUGGUGCAGCAUUCUACAAAACAUUUAUUUAAUUUAUUAAGAAAACUAUAAAGAUUUGAGCAUGCAAACAAAAAUAGCAUGUUUAAGAGGCCAAAACCAAACCAAAUGCAUUAAAGUACAAUUAGUGCCUGGAGGGUGUCCCUUUAAUCAUGCCUUCAGUUAUAGAUGGGAUUGUUUGGUCAACACCAUUACAUUUUCAUUUAUAAACAUUAUAUAAUUUACAAUUUAAACAAAGUUUGUUUUGAAUUGCAAUACUAUAUUUCUGUAAGCAGAUUUGAUAAAUCUCUGGCAAUUUAUGACAGGCGAAAACUCUUGCUUUGUCUACAGCAACCCAUUAUAUGGGUUACCAAGCAGCGAACAGAGCACAGUUUGUGAUCCGUAAAAAGCACCGACUGGAAGCAAAAACAUAUAUAAGGUCAGUAAAGGCAUUUAGCACAGGAGGGAAGCAUUAAUAAAGAACUUCACUCACUAUGUCUAAAAUCUGAUCAAAUCUUUAUAUUGUAAAUAUAUGAAGCAAAGCUGGAUUACAACAUUCAUAUUAAUUGUAUUUUAUUGACAUUAAUAGCAAGUAAAUACCUGCAAAUAACAACCGAGCCAAGCAGAUAAUCAUGCUUUCUAAAUUCUACAUCAUUUAAAAGGUUUUAAAAGGUUUACAUUAUUUUAUUUUACCUCUUCCUUUUACAGGGAAGUCAGAAGCUUAUGUAGGAUCAAUUCCUUUAAGGCUAUUUAAAAGUAAUUGGAAAUAUAAUACAUUCAGCUUCAACAGCAUAACUAAUGCAUGAGCCAUGCUCAUUAUGGCUAGUGAGCUGUACCAUGCUGUAGGUGAUUAAAGAAAAAGCAUAGCCAGUAAUGGGGAAGCAGACCACAUUUUAGAAUGUCCAUAAGGUAGGUGGUAAGUGUCUACACUUCAUAAGCAUUAACCUCAAGACUUGUGCUCCAAACCUGACGAGGACCCUGUAACAAAAAAAAAACAAAGUAAAUAAACAAACAAAAUGCCAUUAUAAUCAGUAUUUACACCUCCAAGGGCUAUGAACAUCCAAGGAUAUGCAUAAUAAAAAUAAGUUAUUAAAGGGUUACUGAAAGCACCAUGACCACUUCAAUGAAUCAAGAGACUGUAUGUGCAUAGUUUCACUAAGACAUUCUGCACAUACAGAGUACAGUGUUAAAGAACUUUGCAGCCAGAGUUGUAACACCACUUUCAACAGCAUCAUUAGCCACCUGGGCUAAUGUAAAUUCUGUGCAUAAAAAGCAUCUGUUGUUGGCACGCAUGGCACCCCUUUGCAAACCCUCCACUUAGCCUUGCCUCCGUGACGUCGCCAAAGGUGUAUUAGGCUGUAGAGAGAACAUGACCUUAGUUUGUGAUCGCAGUUAAAAUUUGAAAAAGUGCAAUCUCUGUGAUGAUUCUUUUUUAUUUUAAUUAUUCAAUAUACAUCUCUGUAUAUCACACCACACCUUUCAUUAUAUUAAUCUUUAUAUCACUCAUUUUCUGUAACCCUACAAUAAAACAUACAAAAAUAAACUAACAAAUAAAAAGCUUUCUAUACGAUGUACACAAAAAAACUAUUCUUUAAAUACUGUUUAAAAAACAGCCAUUGGAAACACAGAACAAACAACUUUAGCAAAAUGCAAAGGAAACCUGUGCAGAAAAAUGUAAAUUAGUAAAAUGGACGUAGAUAUAAGUGACUUCUGAUCCUAAUCCUUAGAAAAAUGCAAAAAACAAAAAACAAAAACAAAGCAGGCUGAUAUAGUCAGUAAGUUUUUUAAGUUUUGCACAAUAUUCUUCAUAGCCUAUGGUGACUGCAAUUUCGUCUAUGAACUUCUCACAGAUUUCUCAGGCAAAUGAAGCAGGAUCCCCAUAAAAUGCAUGAAUGCCGUCCAUUGAUUUUUCCUGGUAACAAAAAGACCACAACAAUAUUCCCUACAGCUCAGAGCCAUAGGCAGGAAAAGUUAAGGAUACAAAAGGGUCCAGAAGACUGUUGUACAUUAGGCAUCCAUGCUCUUUAUGACCCCAUGACAUAAAGUGAAUAGCAAAGAAAAUUAGAUUAGAUUAAAAUUAUUAACUUGUAAAUAGGCAAAUUGUGGCACAAAAGGAAAGUGACAUUACAUAUAGAAGCAUCUAAGCAAUGUGUCAAUCAUAGUGCAUCCAUGUGCAAUUGUGGAUUUGGAUGUUCUAACUGUGGAUCACUAGGUAUAUUUAUUGCGCGAGAGACAUUCUGUUUCCAUGUUCUAUAAACUUAAUAGCUGUGACGGAGUUCCUGUACUCCGACUGAGUACCUUCACUGGGUAUGCUUCCUAGCUGCCACAGGGGACUCUAGAGCGCUUCAGACCCAGUGGCUGAAGAUUAACUUUAGUCACUCCGGAACUCUUUCACCUGACCAGCUCCACUUCCAUUCCUCCAGGCAGUUAUUUUCCCCUCUGCCUAUUCCUCUACAGCAGGGGUUCUCAACGUUAGUCCUCAGGACCCCCUACCAGUCCAGGGUUUAGGGAUUACCUGGGUGUGUCUAAGGUGUUUAGAAAAAGAAAAAAAAACACCUUAGAGUCUAAGGUGUUUUUUCCCCUUUUUCUAAACACCUGAGACACACCCAGGUAAUCCCCAAAUCCUGGACUGGUAGGGGGUCCUGAGGACUGGGUUGAGAACCCCUGCUCUACAGCUUCACCUUCCCAAGAUGGUAAAAAUAGCACUGCUUAUAGGGACUGCUCCUCUCUUUAUGAAGACACUAGCAGCUCUCUUUUUACUUUGCCACCGGGCUACAAGGAUCGUGCAGCCAGCCAACAGGUACGAAGACUUUGUGACUGGGAUCCCUAAAAAUCCACACAGGGCACAUUGUUCCAAAAGAAACUAACAUAUAAAGCAUACAAAGCUUUAUUUAUUUUUUUUAAACUAGGUCUAGCCUUUGGAGACUAAUCUUUAAACAUGUGGUGACAACCAUAAAAAUAUAAACAACAUACAUAAGGUGGAAAAAAAGCAACAUAAUCAUUUCUCAAAUAUAUAACAUCACUACAACUUUCUAGACUAUUGGAAUACAAAUAUAUAUCAAUGCAACCAUUUGUUUAUGGUAAGUUUUACGUCCUGAUAUAAGUCGUUAUAAUUAUUGUUUACUAUCGUAAACAAAUUGAAACUUAAUUUUAUCCUCAAAUAAAGCAUUUAAUUCUAAAACCAAUUAAAUGAGUAAGAAUCUCCCAAUCUAUGUAGUUGGUCAAUCGGGACACUAGAAUUAAUUACUUGUGUCUUUUUUAAAUUUAUUUUAUGGUUAGAGAUUCUACCAAAAUCAUGAAUGCAUUUCAAAUUUGCCAACAGAGAGGUUUCUGGAUUAGAAAGUGUCAGAACUACAUCAUCUGCAUAUAACAUGAUCUUUGAAGUCUGGUCGCCAUUCCCAGGAUUUCCUCCUCCUGUCUUAUAUAAACUGGGUUCUAUUGAAAGUGCAUACAACAUUUGGGCCAAUUAUUUAGAGUUAAAAAUAUCUGAUUUGGCCAUUCAGUGCCAUUUAUUGAGGACAAAGGCCUUGAUUUAAUAAGAUUUCCAAAAGAUUCAAUACUGUUAGAAAAACGUUCCAAAUUAUUUAUCUACAGAGGCCCCUGUUAAAGUCUAUAGAUGUUUUUGUAGAUAAAUCAUUUGGAAAGUUUUCUAUUCAUAUUGAAUCAUUUGGAAAGCUAUUAAAUCGAAGCCAUAAUCCUCAACAAAUAGCUGUCGAAAAAUGUCUUUGACUAUUUGCUCACUGGCAGCAUCACAGUAGCACAAAGUAGGUUUCAAUCUGCAACUGAUGGGCAUAUCUACAAGACAGUGAGACAGUGAGUUGCCAGUAGCUGCUCGCUGUCAUAAAAUACUAACAGCUGGGGAGCAAUUGAUACCCAGUUGGAAUGGUUAGGGUCACUAAAUUCACAAAAGUGAAAUUUCCUCUUUUUCCCUUAAACACCUUUGUGUCUCCUUAUCCCCAAAACAUCUUUGUGUCUCUUUCUCCCCAACACCUUAAUGUGUCUUUUAUUCACCCUACCCAGCCCCUCUGUGUUUCUCUUACCCCCUAGCCACAACAGCUGUCACUGCGCCUGUUUGCCCCCCCAGGCCCUACGUGUCUCUUUAUGCCUCCCCAGACCCUGUGUGUGUCAUUGUUUCCCCCUCAGCCCUCUGUGCGCCUCUUUGCCCCCCUAUCCCCUGUGCACCUCUUUGUCCCCAAGCCCUCCGUGCACCUCUUUGUUCUCAUCUCCCUUCAUGUAACGUGGUCAAAUGGACUACAGGUAGAGUAUAUUUUGUUUCUUCUAUGUGAAAUGACAGGAAGCUGCUGGUUGCUCUCAGCUUCCUGUCAGUUCAGGUAGAGAAUGCAGCAGAUCCUCUAACUGCGGUCCACUCAGCAAUGCUACAUAAAGUGACUGGCAGGAGAGGAGCGGUGUGGGCUCUCCCCCUUGCUGGUCCCCCAGACAUUGCUCUCCCUGGACCAGUGUGCCCUAGGAGGCUGCCUAAUUCACCUAGUGGCCUCACCCGCCCAGGUCUGUAGCAUAUAUGACAAUCCAUCAGUGUGGGAAACAACUGUGCCCCAUCAGCUUAUACUGACUAUGUCUGUGGAGGUAGCAGACAAAGCCACACUGUAAGAUUGAGGCAGGGUGAAACCACUACAUUAAAAUGCAGUUUGCAAAAUGACAUUCUUGAAGGCUCUCAAAGUAAUCCCAAACUUUGCUCUUGCAGCUGGUAAAGAUGCCGGUGGUUUUGCAUCAGUCACAGUGGAAGCUGUCACAAAACUAGCUUCUAUACUAGCACUUGGUUGAGUAAUGCCAAUGGAAAUGGUGAUGGUGGUGGUAGUGGUGGUAAUGGUGACAAUGAAAGUGGGUGAAAUACUUGUGGCACUGGUAAAGGUACUCUCAGCCUGUGCUGUGCUGUGCUGCAGUCUAACUUCAACUACUUGUGGGCCUAGUUUACUCUACUGCUGCAUCUACAGAUUAUUCUGCUACUUUAUACUUUGCAUCACCAAUCGCACCUGGGUGGUAAAUCUGAUGUAACAUACAUGUUAUUUGCAUUAUCCUGAGGAUGAAUGCCACUAAUAGUGACAGUGAUGAUGGCAAUGGCAAAUGUAUCAGCAGUACUCAUGGAAGAGAUGUUAAGACACUGAGAGGCCAUGGCACUACUCCUAAUGUUGGUUUGGGGAACACAAUUUCUUCUUUGGAUUCCGAUGUAUCAUUUAUGAUGGGUUUGUUUUAAUUAUUAAAUUAAUGGGGAUAUGAGUGUGUAUUGUGUAAACUAACACAAUUCUAUUAAGUCAAAAUGGAUUUUUGUGUUGGAAAAUGGGUACCAGCUUGAUUACGUUAACGCUGUGUUUGACGUUAAGAUGAAACACACAGCACACAGUACACUGCGCACACAGUGCUCGCACACGAUGCUUACACACUUGCACACAACACUCUGGAAUGAACAUACUCAGAAAAAAAGAUAAAUUUUUCCUAAAAAGAGUUAUAAGCACACUACAGACCAAAUUAUCUGUGUCUCACAAGAAAUAUAAAAUACAAACCAGUAAAAUAAUUUGAUCUAAAUCAGUAAAUCAAUGUUAAUGUAAGUGGCCCUGGGAAUGGCUAAGCAGAGUCAUAGCUUAACCACCUCACUAGCCUCACUGUUAGUCUAUCUCUAACUUGACGUUUGUGUAAGCAGCACUGGCAGGCACAGCAGUAACUUGACCACCUCACAGUUGGAUCAAUUAGACAGGAUAUCUCUAGCUCUGUCUCCUACUCAAAGUUGUUGUAAGUGGCACUGGCUGUGGCUAGGCAGAGCAGUAACUUAACUAGUCUCCCACUAUGAUCAAUGACACAGACUCUCUCAUUCUCAUACAAGCACAGUAGUAAUGAAAACAAAAUAUUAGGUAUCUGAUUGGUCUGUCUCCUUCAAUAGCUGAAAUCAAAGUGUUUGAAACAAUCCUGCUUUUAAUUAAAUGCUAUGCUAACAUAUUUCUCAAAUACAAAAUGCUAACUAAUAAAGAUGUUAAUUAACCAAAUAGUAGCAAUAGUGUAUAAUAAUAAUAAACCAUUAAUCAAGCAGAUACAUUGGAUUUCUUCACUGAACUAUGAAUUGUGGCAAAUUGAAAACUCAAUAGAACAUAAUUUAAGGCCAAAGUAGCUGCAUUGGAAGAAAUCUCUUAGUUGGCUGUCUUUCCAGAUUAGCUAUUUUGGUCUAAAUUGUGCAAAUUAGAUUUCAGUUCAUUAUUUAGUAAAUUAACCUCUUAAAUGGUUUUCUACUAAAUCAUAAAUAGUCAGACAUUUGCCAAAACAUCAAAUUAUUAUUAUUAAUUAGGUUUUUUACAUGUGUUUUAAAUAGGCAAUGUAUUAACCAUAUUGUAUUGUUUAUUAGCCCUGCACAUACUUGAUAAUGAGAAAUAUCUCAGCAUUUUGCCCUGCAAACACUUUUUAAAAUAAAUCAUUUGGGGACAUUGACAUCUCCGUACUUGUUCCUUUUGAAGCGCGUAGGAUAUUUGCUUUAGAUAUUGGCUUGAUAUGUAUUCCUUGUUUCAAGAUUUUAUUUUGAAGACAGAAAAGCCUUUUCUGGUUCAUUUUGUUUCUUCAUGUAAAAUCACUUUGAUAGAUCUGCAGGAAGAGAUUUAGUUGCAGAUGGCGGAGGUCACUGUAUUGUGUAUUCUAUGUAGUCAAUAAUAAAGUCAGAACCGGCGCUGGCAGCAUGCUAAUCGGGUCUGCAAGGACUUUGCAAAGUCAUUAUGUGUGGUCAUUUGCUUCAUUAUUUUACUUGAGCAAGACUUGAGAGGUCAGCAAUAAGAGAUUACAACAUUUAGUCUAAACUGACUGUAUAUUGACAGGUUGGGUUUGGGCAUAAAAAAUAAGGCUUACAAUAUAGAUUAUAAAGGUUUUGCUCCCAAGGCAUAUAUCAUGUAGGUUUGGAUAAUACAAUGUUUUAAAUGGUAAUAGCCACAAUUAAUAUAAAAUUGUAAUCCAAGUUUCAAAGCAUGAAUCAGUUUAAUUGUAAAUCUUUUUUAUUGAGGGCCUUACUAGGACAAACUACUGUCAUUUCAUUGGUACCUCAAUUGAACUACAUAUAUUUUAUGGAAAGAGUAACCUUAUAAGUUGGAGCACAGAUGAGGAUGCUUGCAUGUAAUUGUAUGCGAUACAGGGUGAGCUUGAGUCAGUUUUUGAGUAUAAAUGAUCAAUGCUGACAGAUCAAGCACUAUGGAAUGAAGGCACUCUAUGAAUUAAAAAUAUAAAAUUCUUUUUGAAAAUUUACAGUGAAUGUGUUUGACUGCAAUUUUUAUUUUCCUGUUUGUAAUUUUGCUUUCCCCUUUAAAGAGAAAUUCGGCUGCCCAUAUACAAACAACAAUUAAAAUCACUAUUUAAUAGAUAUAUCCACAAUAAAAACAUACAUGCAAUUAAUUAUGUAUUGUUUUCAUUAGAGUAAAUGUAAAAGCAGCUCCCAAAAGCUGCAGAUUUAUUGUCUGCAGCCUUCACAAGCACCCACCUGUAGCGUUACUUACCUUAACCGGGGGCCGGUCGCGGUCCUCUCUUCAAGCCGCGCGCGGUCCUGCGGCUGCACGAGCCGCGCGCGGUUCAUCCAACUACUUCGGAUGGAGGGCGGGCAGUGACCGCGUGAGGCGGUCACGUGUCCCGCCUGAAUCUAAGAGCGCGCCGCGAGUCUCGGGCGCGCUCUUAAAGGGACAGUGGGUGCCUAAAUUGGAAAAGGCAUCCCAUUGGUCCCUGUCAUGCCACACUCCCCAUACACUUACCUUUUGGGGGCGUGGAUAUGACAGGGACCAAUCAAAUUAGAUGCUUAGGUAUUUAUACUCACCUUCUUCCCUUUGUUCCUUGCCCUAUCGUGGUUUCUGUUUCAGUUCCCUUUAGCGCUUGUGGUGUUCAGUUGUGUUUUCUCGUAUUGACUUUGGCUUCGUAUUCUGACUUCGUUUUCGCUUUAUCCUUAUCUGUACUGUUUGCCGGCUUGCUGUUUUCCGUGUACCAGACCCCGGCUUGUCCUAGUUUACGCUGUCUCUCUGUGCCCUUGACCUCGGUUUGUUCCUGGCUCUGUCUUCUCUCAUAUACGUCAAGUCCGGCCAUUCUAAGGUCCGGUAGACGUAUCUCUCCUCUGUAUUUGCCUCUGUUUAGCUGGAUCCUGCGUGUAGGGGUAUAUUCUCGUUACAUUACGAUAGGGCCAUGGACCCCGCAGAUUUAGCUCAACAGAUGGCGUCCCAUGAGGCAAGAUUUGUAGAGCAGGAUCACCGUAUGGAUCAAAUAGCUCAGGCUCUCCAGACGCUCCUAGCUAGAACCGUUCCAGCAACUACACCUAACCCUCCUACGCCCCUUCUCCCUGAAGUAUCUACUUUGCCUAAUACUUCGGCCCAUUUAACACCUCCUCCUAGGUAUGGAGGGGACUCUAAGACUUGCAGAGGGUUUAUUAAUCAGAUUGAAUUUCACUUUGAAAUGUAUCCACGUUCAUUUCCCACAGAGAGGUCUAAGGUUGGGUUCUUUAUGCACCAACUUACCGAUAAGGCACUUGAGUGGGCAAAUCCUAUUUGGGAAGCUAAUGGGCCUAUGGUACAUGAUUUCAACAGUUUUCUUACGGCUUUUCGUAGAACUUUUGACACAAUGAAAAGGUCAAAGAAUGCCGCAAGAGCAUUAAUGAGAAUUAAACAGGGUUCUAGGUCUGUGGCUGAUUAUGCUAUUCAGUUUCGCACUCUUGCUUCACAGGUAGAUUGGACCAACAAUGGGUUAACUACUGCCUUUAUGGAAGGUUUGUCAGAUACGAUAUUGGAUGAGGUAGCAGCUAAGGAGCUUCCUAUUGCCUUAGAGGACCUUAUCGAUUACCUCAUCGAUAUUGAUAAUAGAAUUCGUGACAGGCUCUAUACCAAGAACAGGAAUAGACGUUUUGUUACACCCAUUAACCCCAGAGUUAAUAUACCAGAGAGUGUUAAAGUGUCUGAGGAGGAACCUAUGCAAUUAGGGGUUGCCAAACUCUCUGAUACUGAGAAAUUACAUAGGAGAAGGGAGGGACUCUGCCUAUACUGUGGUAGGAGAGACCAUAUGGUAAAGGAAUGUCCUUUACUCCCGGAAAACUCUCGCACCUAAGACCUUAUAGGGGACUGGCCUUGGGUGUGAUAUCUAAGUCUCCUAAAUUGCCUCCUAACCGCUUGCUUCUCCCGGUUUCUUUAUAUAUGGGAGAGAUUUGUAUAGUUGACAACAUAUAUGCUCUGGUUGACUCUGGGGCAGCUGAAAAUUUUAUAGACUCUGGCUUUAUAAAGAGAAACAACAUUCCCAUCAGAGAGAAGGAGAUACCCUUGGCCGUUGAGGCCAUAGAUGGUAGACCAUUAAGUUCUCCAGUUGUUACUCAUGAGACUGAACCACUACACAUGUACACAGGGGUUUUACACUACGAAACCAUUCGAUUCCAGGUUAUCACCUCUCCCUCUUCACAGUUAGUAUUAGGGUAUCCAUGGUUACGUGCUCACAAUCCCAUUUUUGACUGGGAGACAGGGCAAAUAAAAUCAUGGAGUAAGGCCUGCCACGAGUCUUGUACGUUGGAAGUCACACCUUUGAAUUCUAUUGAGGUACCUACCAGUCCUCCUUUGUCUAUGGUUAUACCCCCUCAGUAUUUAUCUCUAAAGACUGUUUUCGAUAAAAGGGAGGCUGAGAAAUUACCGCCUCACAGACCCUAUGAUUGCGCUAUUGACUUGUUGCCUGGCACUAUACCUCCAAAGGGCAGGGUGUACCCCUUAUCGGUUCAAGAAAACCGUGUCAUGGAGGAGUACAUCAAGGAAUCAUUAGAAAAAGGGUUUAUUAGGAGAUCCUCUUCUCCAGCUGGAGCAGGGUUCUUCUUUGUAUCGAAGAAAGAAGGUGAUUUAAGACCGUGUAUAGAUUAUAGAGGUCUAAACAAAAUCACUAUCAAAAAUGCAUACCCUAUACCUUUGAUUACAGAAUUAUUUGACAGGCUGAAACAUGCCACUGUGUUCACUAAAUUAGACCUUAGGAAUGCAUACAAUUUGAUACGUAUAAAGGAAAAUCACGAAUGGAAGACUGCAUUCAACACUAGAUCCGGUCAUUACGAAUACACUGUUAUGCCAUUUGGGCUUUGCAAUGCCCCAGCAGUAUUCCAAGAAUUUAUUAAUGAUGUAUUGAGAGAUUUUAUUCACACAUUUGUUAUCGUAUACUUGGACGACAUUUUAAUAUAUUCUGCAGAUAUACACACUCAUCACAGACAUGUUAUGACAGUUUUGAAGACCCUUCUUGCUAAUGGUCUUUAUUGCAAGCUAGAAAAAUGUCUGUUUGACCAAACCGAAGUCCAGUUCUUGGGGUAUUUGAUUUCCGCUAAAGGUUUUCGUAUGGAUCCCCAGAAGCUAGCUGCUGUAAUAGAAUGGCCUCUACCGCAAGGUCUGAAAGCUAUUCAGCGUUUUCUUGGGUUCUCCAAUUAUUAUAGACGUUUUAUCAAAGGUUUCUCGUCCAUUGUAGCACCUAUCACUCGUAUGACUAAAAAGGAUGGCAAUACUCGUGUUUGGUCUACCGAGGCACUUCAGGCUUUUGAAUUUCUUAAAACUACGUUCGCCUCUGCACCUAUUUUACAGCAUCCUGUCCCCUCACUGCCCUAUAUACUUGAAGUUGAUGCUUCGGAUAUUGGGGUAGGUGCUGUCUUGUCCCAAAGAGAGUCGCCUGAGAAGCCAUUGCAUCCAUGUGGCUUCUUUUCUAAACAAAUGUCCAAAGCAGAGAAAAAUUAUGAUGUGGGUAAUCGUGAACUCCUUGCUAUUAUUUUAGCACUUAAAGAGUGGAGACAUUUGUUAGAGGGAACUAAGGAUCCUAUCCUCAUUUUUACGGAUCACAAGAACCUAUCCUAUCUUAGCGAAGCCAAAAGAUUGUCUUCCAGGCAGGCUAGGUGGUCACUAUUUUUGUCUCGUUUCAAUUUUAUUAUCACCUAUAGGCCAGGUGAUCGCAACACUAAAGCAGACGCUCUGUCCAGACAGUUCGAAACUACUGACAAACAGGAGAUUGAUGUUACUCCUGUCAUUCCCCCAGACAGGAUAAUAGCUACUACUAUUUUGUCUAUUUCCUCGUCCCUCUUGCAGACCAUACAAGCGAAACAAAGCAUGGCACCUAGCGAGAGGCCUAAUGAUAAACUGUUCGUUGAUGUUCCUGAGAGACGGGAUAUUAUGUCAUUAUAUCAUGAUACUAAGACCGCUGGACAUCCUGGUAUUUCCAAAACGGUGUCAGCUGUUUCUCGGUAUUUUUGGUGGGAUUCCUUACGAAAGGAUGUCACUGACUAUAUAAGUGCUUGUACUACUUGUGCCUGUAUGAAAUCCUCCCGUAGAGUUCCUUGUGGGCUGUUGCAUCCGUUACCCGUUCCCGAGAGACCUUGGUCUAACCUGUCCAUGGAUUUUAUUGUUGAAUUACCCCCUUCAAAUGGUAACACAGUAAUCCUGAUGAUAGUGGAUCGGUUCUCCAAAAUGGCUCACUUCGUGUCUCUUCACAAGUUGCCCACAUCUAAGGAACUGGCUCAUAUCUUCGCUAGAGAAGUAUUUCGAUUACAUGGGAUUCCCGUAUCUAUUGUAUCCGAUAGGGGUAGCCAAUUUAUUUCCAGGUUCUGGAGGGCCUUUUGUUCAGAAAUGGGUAUUUCUCUCUCAUUUUCUUCCGCUUAUCAUCCCCAGUCUAAUGGGGCUGCUGAACGUGCCAACCAGUCUCUGGAGCAAUACCUCCGUUGUUUUGUGUCUCACCAUCAGGACAAUUGGUCUGACCUGCUUCCUUGGGCUGAAUUUGCUCGGAAUAACGCCACUCAUGAUUCUUCCGGCAAGACCCCUUUUUACGUUGUCUAUGGCCAGCAUCCCGUUGUUCUUCCGGCUGCUUUCUCCUCACAGGGCAUGCCAGUUCUGGAUGAGCAUUUGGCUGGUUUGCGUAAUACUUGGGAGCAGGUUCAGCGUUCUUUGGUGGACUCUGCUACUCGCCAGAAGGCUCAGGCUGACAAGCAUCGCAGAGCAGCUCCGUCCUAUGUUGUGGGGGACAGGGUUUUGCUUUCCACGCGGAAUAUUCGUCUCCGGGUGCCUUCUAUGAAAUUGGCUCCCCGCUUCAUUGGACCUUAUCGUAUUAUACAUAAGGUUAAUCCUGUUUCUUAUGCCUUAGGCCUGCCCAAGAAUCUACGUAUUCCUAAUGUUUUUCACACCUCAUUGUUGAAACCUUUCGUACGCAACCGCUAUACUCGGCAUACUCCUCCUCCCCCUCCUAUCUCGGUGGAGGGUCAUGAGGAGUUUGAAGUGUCUGCUGUUCUUGACUCUCGUUUCCUUAGGGGUCGACUUCAGUACUUGGUACAUUGGAGGGGUUAUGGGCCUGAGGAGCACAGUUGGAUUUCGGCCGAUGCUGUCCAUGCUCCCCGUCUUGUGCGCUCUUUCCAUUCACGUUUUCCUGCCAGGCCUGGUCCUACCCGCCCGGGGGGCGUGUCCUCAGGGGGGGGUACUGUAGCGUUACUUACCUUAACCGGGGGCCGGUCGCGGUCCUCUCUUCAAGCCGCGCGCGGUCCUGCGGCUGCACGAGCCGCGCGCGGCUCAUCCAACUACUUCGGAUGGAGGGCGGGCAGUGACCGCGUGAGGCGGUCACGUGUCCCGCCUGAAUCUAAGAGCGCGCCGCGAGUCUCGGGCGCGCUCUUAAAGGGACAGUGGGUGCCUAAAUUGGAAAAGGCAUCCCAUUGGUCCCUGUCAUGCCACACUCCCCAUACACUUACCUUUUGGGGGCGUGGAUGUGACAGGGACCAAUCAAAUUAGAUGUUUAGGUAUUUAUACUCACCUUCUUCCCUUUGUUCCUUGCCCUAUCGUGGUUUCUGUUUCAGUUCCCUUUAGCGCUUGUAGUGUUCAGUUGUGUUUUCUCGUAUUGACUUUGGCUUCGUAUUCUGACUUCGUUUUCGCUUUAUCCUUAUCUGUACUGUUUGCCGGCUUGCUGUUUUCCGUGUACCAGACCCCGGCUUGUCCUAGUUUACGCUGUCUCUCUGUGCCCUUGACCUCGGUUUGUUCCUGGCUCUGUCUUCUCUCAUAUACGUCAAGUCCGGCCAUUCUAAGGUCCGGUAGACGUAUCUCUCCUCUGUAUUUGCCUCUGUUUAGCUGGAUCCUGCGUGUAGGGGUAUAUUCUCGUUACACCACCCCCUCUUCCACAGCCCAAACUUUCUGUUGCUGUCCAAUCACAGACUUCCUAAUGCAGCUCAAUAAGCAGUCUUAGCAAGGCAGGUGGUCUGGGUAAUUGCUGCAUCUUGAGUUUAGCUCCACUGAGCUAAACAGCAAGGACGGAACAGGACCAGUUGUCUGACAGACAGGGGGUGCAACAGAUUAAUUUAUAAAAGUGCUGAAUUCUAUUGAAAUAUUCACGUUUUAUAAAAUGAAAAAAAGAGGAAAAAGUGCUUUAAUGUGCUUUAGGCAUAUGAAUUGUUUAUUUGAUACAUCCUUAAGAUGUGAUUGUCUAAAUAUGGACGCUUGAUUCAUAUUUUAAAGAGACACUAUAGUUACCAGAAGAGCUACAGCUUAUUGUAUUUUUUUCUGGUGAGUAUGACCAUUCCCUUCAGGCUUUUUGCAGUAAACACUGUCUUUUCAGAGAAAAUGCAGUGUUGACAUUACAGUCUAGGGAUACCUCCACUGGACACUCCUUAUAUAGCUACUAGAGCAGCACUGUCAUUUAGUGUAUCCACCCUCUGCAUGGAAACAAUGAAAUGUCCUUAUAAAGAUGCAUUGAUUCAAGGUAUGUCUAUGAGGAGAUGCUGAUCAGCCAGUGCUGUGUUUGACUUGUUCUGGCUCUGCCCUGAGCUGCCUCCUUGAGAAGCUCAGCCAAUCACUUCUGGUGAUGUCAACCAAGCAGGCAGAUCAGGGGCAGAGCCAGCAGCAGCAGCAGCAGCAGCAGCAGACUGGAGUAAAUGAAAGCUAUUGCUAUAUUUAGGGGGCUAUGGGAGGCCAAGGUGCUAGAAAGUGUUUUUAACACUACAGGGUCAGGGAUACAUGUUUGUGUUACUGACCCUAUAGUGUUCCUUUAAGUUUUAUAUGGCCCCCUUGGGUUAUACAGUUAGUUAAUGAUAUUUCAUAUGAUUUGUAUCCUAUUUAUAUAUUUUUAAGUAAUUGCGAAAACUCAUCAUCGAUUAUUGAUAAUAUGGAUACAGUAAUUUUACUUGUAUUUAGAAAUAAACAGUUUGCAUGGGUACAGCAAAGGAAGAAGGGAAGGUAGUCAUGCAGUCAGUAAACAAUGUUGAUGAAAUGUAGAGAUUUAACAAAGUAUCUUCCAAUAUUGGGCCAGAGUAGCAACUGUGAAAAAAUUGCUUUGCGGAAGGUGAUUUAGGCAUAAAAUGUGUCAUUUCCAUACCAAUUUUUCGACAAUAGUUGGUUCAGUGAAAACUGCUAUUUUGUAGUAUAUACUGCAAUAUAGAUGUAAUUACUUCAGCAUGUCCCUGGUACCAACCCUUCUGUGUCAGACAAUGGCCUUGAUUUAAUAUUUUUAGAUGAGCUUUUCAUGUGAUUGUUUUGUAUGUGUGUUUUUUGGGGGGGUUAGAAAUGUAUUGAAUAUUUUAAGUUUUGCAUAUAAUUCUUUGUUCAAAAUAGUGCCAAAAUACCAUUGCAUGUGAUAACACUACACCAACAAAUCAUUCCCUGGUAUACACUGGUUGUGACAGAUCCAUCUGUAUAGACUGGGAUUGCUGGUUCAUCUGUUUUGCAUUUUUGUGGAAUUACCCGUUCGUAUGCCUCUGUUCGUAUAAUUGAUGUUUUUUGACCAACAAGACUACCGAACGGACGGCCACCCAGACGAGAAGUGUGCUGCUGGUUAACCUCUUGAUCCCAAUUAGAACAUUGUGGUUAACCGCAGACACUUCUCAAUUAAAAAUGAAUGCAGGGUGGUCGUCGUUCGUAUGUCGACCACGAGGUGGCGGCCAUUUUAAACAAGCGAAAGACCAGUGGUGUUCGGCCCAGAUUCUAUGGAACUGAAAACGGACACUUUUUCUGCCGAACAGCGCUGAAGCCGCCGACCUCCCUUCUCAAUCGACAGAAGUACACGAACACCGGCCAUUCGGGAGUUUGCAAUGCACGUAUGGACUUAACCCAGAGAGCCUUCCCAUGGAGUCAAUCGCAUACCGAAAGACUGUAAUAGACUUUGACUCCAUGGCGAUUGAACUAUGCGUAUGGGAUCUGAGCGCUAUUCGCCAAUAAUAUGCACUCAGACAAUUAAAAAGUGAUAUAUUUUGUGUUUUUUGUGUUGUAUUUAAAAUGGCGAUUUGCCUCUGUCCUGGGAGAUAAUUUAAUUACUUCUCAAUUAUCUCCACGGCAGAGGGGAGGAAACCAUAAUGCAUGCUGGGAAUAUUCUGUGUCUGGAGGUCCUAACAUGCCAUAUGUCUGUCUCUUGUUACAGUCUCCCAUUUGGUCCCCUAGGGGAGUGUCCACCAAGUUGGAGACCUGCAUAAAUACGGGCGGGUAGCCCACAGUAAAGCCAGUUCAUGUUUUACCUUCAAUGCGGAGCUUGGUCUCGUUAUUGGGGGGAUUUAUUACCGACGACUAGAGACUGCCAGAUGGGAUUAUUAGCCGCUUGGGAGAUAUAUGAGUUCGGCUACUAUUGGCGAUUUGUGAGUUUGGAGCUCGGGAAGUGAAGUACCCGUACGGGUCCCGUUCGGGAUAUUACAGCAUUCCCCUGCUUGUGGUUCGUAUGAUUGCAAUUGAUACGAAUGAAGCCUGUGUUAUUGCGUGAGGGGAGUAUUCACCCUACGAGGGUUUGUGCAUUUGAUGCUGAGGGUACCGUAACACUGGUUCUAAACAUCUAGAUUACUCAAUUAUUUCAGUGAUAGUAAGGGGAAAAAAAUAAGCUAAUGACCUACCAGGUAUGAUAAUGUAAGAAUUUCUGUAAAUGUUAGUGAGGUGUUUUUUUGUUUUUGUUUGACACCAUAAAUAUGCCAAUGUUCCCACCUCCCAAUUCAUACAAACUCAUCAAUUCUAACAUUUUAUAGUUGUCUAGAAGGAUAAUUUUUUUUAAAUUCUUGAUUUUCAUUUUCUGUGCAUGAAGAUGAAUCAAGACACAUGCUUGAUGCCAUAAUCAUAAGAGCAAGUGAUUAUUUAGAUAACAAGGCAAAAUGUGUACAUGGCAUAUAUAAAAAUUUAACUUUUUGGGUGGGCUAGGCAGUCAUAAGGGUCUGCCCAGCUCUAUGUGCUUAAGUUCUAAUAUUGGCUAGAUACGGUGUGGUGAUGCUUGUGGUAGCAUAAAUGUGUCAUUCUUAGUUUGUCGCCGUCAGGUAAGGUUUUGCUUGGUAGGUUGGUGUCCCUCUGUCAUCCAACAGAUUGACUUGCCUGUUGAGGGUGAUGUGUGAGGCUUGCAUCUGUUUUUCUCUGUCUCUCAGUUCAUUCUGGCCUUGUUGCAGGGUUUUCACCUCCUCCUCUGUGGCCUGAGUACAGGCUGUGACUGUUUUCACUUCAGCUGCGAAACCCUUUAGGUCUGCCUGCCACAUUUGUUGGAGAUUUAGUUGGAGUCCGGCCAGCAUGUCUUGGAUGUCCUGUUUGGUCACUGGGGCUGCUACCCCAAUGUUCUGUGUCAUCUCCCUUUCUGUUGUGCCGAGUUUUUGAGAGCUCUGUCCCAUCUCCUCAGGGGUGUAGAAGUCUGGUGCAGUGAGCUGUGUGCCAGACUCAAACCACGUUGUUAACACUCUGGCUAGGUCUUGUGGCCGGACGCCCAUGUACUAGGACACCCUGCCUCUCUUGCGGCGUUUCGGGCCCAGGGCAUCUGCAGGUUGGAAGAAUGCCUGGAGAUAGUGCCCUCACCUUGUAUCAGCAGGCAGGUCGUGGAUCGGCUGAUAUCAGCCGGAUUCUGCUCUAGGCUGUCGGAGUCAUUGGAAAUGGCGACCGCUCUGGUAUGCUGGAAGGCUCCGCGACCCUGCUUUUCAUGUGAUUUAAUUAUUAAAAAUUAAAACAAAUACGUUAAUAUUUUUUUUCUGAUAUAUUGAUAUCUAUUUUUAAUAUUUUACUAUUUUGAGAAUAUAAUUUCAAAAGUUUAUCCAUCAACUAAACAGCUUAUCUAAAAAUAUUAAAUUGAGGGCCAUAUUAAGAUGGCAUUUGUUAGUUGAGCUAGCCAGCUUACACAUUCACUACACAAAAAGUGCAACUUCCACUAUAGAGGGAAAUCAAUGAGUUAUGUAAUUGAUGGGCCUCAGUUUGUGUCAAACCACUGGAAAAAGAUUUGACACCGAACUGGGGCACCGGUGCCAUUAGUCUGCUGGCAUUAUAAACACUAAAGUGGAUUGUAUGGGUUUAAGGAACACUAAAUGCACUCAUUGAGUACUUUCCUUACGAUUAUUAAAAUCAAUUCCCUCUCGGAUCUGGCUCCUUUCUAAACCACAUAAAGGCACUACUAGCGCACAAAACAAAUUAAUAGGCAAGGUAGCACUCGCCACAAGACGAGCAAUUGCAGAGAGAUGGGAAAGGUCCAACAUUCCCUCCUUAGAAGUAGUGAAACUCAAGGUAGAAGACACAAUGAGAAUGGAUAAACCCUCUACUUUGAUACAUGAUACCACCAAACACUUCAACAAAAAUUCGGUAUCCAUGGCUCUUCGAACUUCCAAUUUCAACAUAGGGUGCUCUGCUCUGGCGCGGGGCAGGGGAUCCACCAAACCCGCCUUGGCCAACUCCCUCUCCCCUCAACAACUGGACUACUUAAUAUAUUUUUCUCCUUCACACUAUCCCUCUCUCUCUUUCUUUUUCUUUCCCACUCCCACUUUCAUUCAUCUACCCUUUGAUAUCUUCUUUGUUCAUGCUCACCUUAUGAUUCUAAAUUCAGCACAACCAACACAGGUUUUUAGCAUUAUGUUGCAGGCAUAUUACUUCCAUUUACCCAUGGAAUAACUCAUUCACUGUGCAAAUUUGUGAAUAUCACAACCAGAAAGCCUUGAUAGCAUAAAUACACUGUGACUGACUUUGAAGCCCAAUAUAGAGGACAUACUUGGGAGCGCAAAUUAAAAAUGACAUAUUGUUUGACCACUGACAUCAUGUCCUUUUUCAAAAAUCCCAGGAGUGACUUACUAGACAAAUACCUAUUGUAUGCCAUUAAACACUUAUGAUGUACAUCUUGUACUAUUUGCUAUGUUAUGUAUUUUUCUUGUACUUUUCUUAAUAAUAUUGUCAACUUUGAAAGACCGGGGUGUACUCCAUUUGCUACUAUUUUCAUGACAACCAUUGCAACAUGUAUUGGGUAAUCCUCGAUUUUAUUAAUGACACGGAGGCUCCUAUUAGCUAUCUCUUUCUUACUUUAUUCCUCAGCAGCAAAGAGAAAUAUAAAACUGAAAGAGAAAAAAUGUAGAUAUGAAAUAUAAUAACAGGUACAACCAGAUCUGCCUAGUAACAGGGCAGCCAAUCAGCUUAGUAGGAACAGUCCAUAAAUGUCUUGCUUAGUACUUCCACUUCCUCUUUCUUUGCUGCUGUCCUCAGACCAGCUAAGUAUUAAUUUCACUCCUGUAUAUUUUGAUCUUGGAUUGUUUUUUAUGGGCUUAUUUACUGAUUAUUUUUCCUGUAUUAUUUACUUGGAUGCUGCUUUGUGCGCCCUAUGUGAUUUCUGUGUAUUGUUUUGAUGUUUUUUUGGCACCCCUUUUGGGUGUCUCUAUUUUUCCCCUGCUUUGCUCGGACUCCCUGCCUGUGCUGUACCUUUUGUGAGCACAGACAGGGGCCGCGGAUCACUGGGGAAGCUUUUCUCGGGAGCUGCUGUGCUCCCUGACCGCCCUCCCUCCUCCCCACGCGACCGCAUGUGCGGCCGCGUGCGGUUCCGACCCACUCUACCUCCGGCCGCGUGUGUUUUUCCACGAACUCCCCGGCCAUUGGCGGGGGAGGAGCUUGGGGCCGCGACAUGCUCUGCAUGCGGCGGCCAUCUUCACUCACACACGUGGCUGCUGGCGGAUCCGGCGAUCGGCUCCCUUUCCCCUUGUUUUUCUCCACAGGUAUUUGCUUUGUGGGUUACUCAACCCCUAUAGUGUAGUUAAGUUUGUUCCAUCAUCCUGUUAUAUCAUUUAUAUUCUGAGACUGGUGCCCUGGCUCCCAUUAAAUUUCUUGUGGCUUAAUUUUUUUAUCUGCAUAUAUUUAAAGGGACAUACCCCUUUCUACCCACAAGCUUAUUUGCCCUCCUCUCUAUCAUGCAGACUAAGGGUGAUGAUUCUGGCUGUCCCAGUUACCCCACCAUGGAAGCCUUUCAGGCCCCUAUCUCAGGUGAAGGGGGACUCACCCCCUCUCAAGAGUUCCAGGCCCUUAUUGAUUCUACUAUGCAGAGGGCCCUGGCCUCUGCCAUGGGGACAGUCUCAUCAUCGCUGUCUCACACUAUUCAGUAGGCCCUGACUCAGCCCCUGGUUUCUCCUAUGUUGGCAAGCCCCCUGCCUGCACUGCAACCUCAGGUCAGCCUCAAGGUAUAUGCCAAAACUAAACAUGUCUCCCCCGACAUGACACAGGUAGUACCUGCCCUGACUGACGCGCCUCUGGCCGUCCAAGAUGGCGCGUUACUGCGCAAGAGAGCCGCUGGCCGGGCAAAAUCGGCCAGAAAGUGGAAAAGGGCGUGUGCCCAUGACAAUGAUGGGUCAGACUCCGAUCGAAGUGGGGAAACAGGUUCGGACACCCCCGACUACGCCUCUUAUGAGGAAGGGGACUCCGACACGGAGGCAGGGUCUGACGCUUCGGCGUUACCUCCGAGUGAGGAACAAGGCAUAUGCGAUCCGCAGGGUUACCCCCUGUUCGAUCAUGAUGACCUUCGUCACCCUCGCUCGGCGGAAUGGGACCCGCCCGAGCAUAUAGCUAGCUAUCUAGAGCUUCGUAUGCGUACCCCCUUAUCCAAGGAGGGGCGCAGUAAGUUACAGGCCGAAUGCCCAAGGCUCUCAGUGCCUGAUGCGGCGUGUAAGACGCCAGAGAUUGACCCUCAGAUCUCACAGUUCCUGGCAAAAACGGGCUGGAAACCCAGAAAGGGUUUGGAGUUUUCACUCCAUAAUUGCCAGGACAAGAUUUUGGACACUCUAGGUCCCGUGGCUAAGCUUUAUGAGCUAUUGGAGACGGCUAAAACAGGGGAUACCCCCCUUGACUUCGAUGUAGCAAUAGGUUGGGUCCAGAGAUUGAUUUGCCUACUCGGCAAUGCUAACACGGCUAUGUCAGCCAAACGCCGCAAGGCGAUCUUGCUUAAAAUCGAGCCUAAACUGGUUAACCUUGCGGUGAAGGAACCGGGCGCUGCCGCUAAAGGCAUGCUCUUUGGUGAGUCUUUUGUUAAAGACUUGGGCUCAUUUGUGCGUACCUUCACCGCCCUAGAUAAGGCCCAAUCCAACCUUAAACGAGUUUUUGGCCCAAAGGUUUUCAACAGGGCCGGGAGUUAUAGGAGCCGUCCGCCAGGCCGUGGAAAUCGAGGUCCCUCACCGACUCAUAGAGGUUCCUUUGCUGCCCCUCGGGCCUAUCAGGACUACAAACCCACUCCCUUCUUUCCCUCCCGCGGGAGGACAUGGCAGAAUUGGGGAGGACGUGGUCAGCCCUCAUACAGACGUCCUUACGGUUAGUACUCAAAAAGAUCUUUCUCUCCGGGCGAGUGUGGGAGGCAGGUUAGCUUUGUUUCUCGACAUGUGGGGCAUGAUCACCACAGAUUUGUGGGUGUUAAAUACUAUCAGAGGUUUUCACCUGGAUCUUUUAUCUCCCCCUAUCCAGGUGGAUUCACCUCAGGAACUGAUCAGUCCGGGCUGAUUACCAAGGAGAUCUCGGAACUUCUGGCCAAACGGGCAAUACAAGAAGUCCCGUACGAUCAUCCGGGAUUUCUAAACAACCUGUUCCUCGUCGCCAAGAAAGGCGGAGGAGUUCGGCCGGUGAUCAAUCUCAAACGACUCAACGGAUUCCUUCGUUACCAUCACUUCAAGAUGGAGGGCAUACAUUGCCUCAGAGAUCUGCUUCGGCAAGGGGAUUGGAUGGUCAAACUAGACCUCAAGGACGCAUACCUGACUAUACCAAUGGCAGAGGUACACUGGGACUUAUUGUACUUUACGUGGCAAGGACGUUGGUGGAGGUUUACCUGUCUGCCCUUCGGUCUCUCUUCAGCACCUUGGUGCUUCACGAAGGUGAUGAAACCGGUGGUGGCGUUCCUCAGGUCGCGGGGAGUACGCAUGAUUAUCUACCUGGACGACAUACUGAUUAUGUCCGCGUCCCCCGACCAACUUCUACAGCACCUGAGUUGGACGGUGGAUCUUCUGGAGAACUUAGGUUUUCUCAUAAAUGGGGUCACCAUGGACUUUUCCCAAACGCAGAAAAUAGGCUAUGAAGAAAGAAAUAAGACGUACUCUACGGACCACCAGUCUCUCCGUACGACAACUGGCGAGGGUCAUUGGUCUUUUGCCCUCCUCCAUUCAGGCAUUUUUUCCGGGACCCCUACAUUAUCGGGCCCUACAACGUCUGAAGGGAUCCCACCUUCGUUUGGGCAGUUCGUACGAAAGCGAACUAUGCCUGGACAGAGACUCCAGGGAGGAACUUCGAUGGUGGCUGGAUCAUAUGGAGGCAUGGAAUGGUCGAGCAAUCUUCGGCACCGCCCCGGAUAUGGUGAUAGAAUCGGAUGCCAGCCUGCAUUGCUGGGGCGCUCGCUGUGGAAAUGUCUCCACAGGUGGCAGAUGGUCCGAAAUCGAAUCAACGCUACACAUCAACUGUCUGGAAUUGCUGGUGGGAUCGUUCGCUAUUCGCAGCCUGUCUCCAACCCUGGGAAACUGAUGCGUCCUUCUGCGCAUGGACAAUGUGUCCGCGGUCAGAUAUAUAAAUCACCUAGGUGGCACGAAGUCAAAACAACUGGCGAAUCUAGCGAAGGAUUUCUGGCAGUUCUGCCUCCACAGCGCGGUGUCGGUCACGGCCGAGCACAUCCCGGGCUUGGACAACGAAUGGGCGGACUGGAAUUCGCGAUACUUGAAAGACUCAGGAGAAUGGCAUCUGUUGCCUUCGAUCUUUCGACAGAUAGAUCAACUAUGGGGCCCGUUACAACUGGACUUGUUCGCAUCCAGACUGAACGCUCAACUACCCCAAUACUUCAGUUGGAGACCGGAUCCAUCAGCCACGGCGGUGGACGCGUUCCUGCAGAUAUGGCCUCGGGGUCGUCACUUUGCGUUCCCCCUUUCAACCUGAUCUCUCGGACGCUGGCAUACUUGUCCGGACAAGAAUGCACGUUGGUGGUGAUAGUUCCCCUAUGGCAGACUCAGCCUUGGUUUCCACGUCUUUUGGAGAUGGCGGCGGAGUGCCCACGGAUGAUCAGGAUGCGAUCAGAGGUGCUUCUGGAUCCGGAUGGGAACUCGCACGACUUAGUGGACCAGAACCUGCUCCAGCUUACAAGUCUGCAUGGCUUGGUUGAUUGGCGUGGGGAGUGCUGGAUCUUACAAGGCUGCAUGGCGUGUGUGGUCUGGCUGGUGCGUGGGCAGACUGCUGGAUCCCCUUUCUGCCCCUCUGAAGGAGGUGCUCAGUUUUCUGACCACGCGUUUUGAAUCUGGUUUGGCCUAUCGCACUAUCAAUGUUUAUAGAUCGGCCAUUUCAGCCGGACAUAUAGGUAUUGACGGAUCACCGAUUGGACAACAUCUUUUUGUGUGCCGUUUGUUGAAGGGUAUUCGUUACUCUAGGCCUCCGAAAUCCAGAUAUUCAUCGUUUUGGGAUGUUAACGUGGUGCUGGACUUCUUGGAAUCAUGGCCCCUUAAUGAGGACCUGUCACUGAAGCAACUAUCCUGGAAAUUGGUUAUGCUCCUGUGUCUCCUUUCAUGCAGAAGGGUUUCAGAUGUCAGGGCUUUGGACUGGAACGCGUUAUCCUUCACCCCCGAGGGAGUGUUGUUUAACAUCUCUAGGAGGACGAAGACGUCUUCUAAAUCAGUGACCUAACCUAGGUGUUCAGUCCGACCUGCUCUGUGUCCGGUAGCUUGCCUACGGGUGUACUUGGAUCGCACUCACCUAUUGAGGUCAUCAGAUCUAUCCCAAUUGUUUAUUUCCUUUAAGAAACCGUUUCUCCCGAUCUCCUUGACUACGUUAGCUCGUUGGAUUAAGAAUCUUCUAUCCGCUGCAGGAAUCGAUACUUCUAUAUUUUCGGCUCAUUCAGUCAGAGGCGCCAUGGCGUCUAAGGCCUCCACGAUGGGAUGUCGGCUGGAUGAUAUCUUGAAGGCAGCGGAUUGGUCUAGAGAAUCUACGUUCCGCGAUUUUUAUUUCCGCCCGAUUGACCAUGUUUCCUCGUUAGUUGUGGCUCAGCUUUAAACUAGCAUAAUAGGAGCCUCCGUGUCAUUAAUAAAAUUCCCAGAUUUUACUAAUAACAUGACGUAAAGUCAUGAUUUUAUUAAUGACACAGAGGCGAGUAUUAUUCCCACCCUCCCACCUUAUGUGGUUACGAUUUUGAAGUUUUUUAGUCCUGCAGGCCAGAUGGUCAUAAAAGGUUACAUGCAGGUCCGGAGUUUGGAUUUUACCUACUUUUUCUCUGUUUUACAGCUUGAUUUUGUUAAGAUGACGUCUACCUUGUUGGAGAUUGUUCUUUCCUGAUGUGGAAGUUUGGUUUGGGUCUUCGGUUCAGAAGGCAAAGAAGAGGAAGUGGAAGUACUAAGCAAGACAUUUAUGGACGGUUCCUACAAAGCUGAUUGGCUGCCUUGUUACUAGACAGAUCUGGUUGUACCUGUUAUUAUAUUUCAUAUCUACAUUUUUUCUCUUUCAGUUUUAUAUUUCUCUUUGCUGCUGAGGAAUAAAGUAAGAAAGAGAUAGCUAAUACUCGCCUCCGUGUCAUUAAUAAAAUCAUGACUUUACGUCAUGUUAUUAGUAAAAUAUGGGAAUUUAUCGCUAAAUAUACCCUGACAUUUGUUAUGUUCAGUUCUAACAUUGCAAUGUCAUACUGUAUUUUUGUCAUCAAAAUAAAAAUCAAUAAAUAAUUUAAAAAAUCAUGUUUCUCCCAUGAUCUGGUUUCUGUUCCGCCCACUGUUUAUUUUUUAUUUUUUUAUAGUGUACUCACCACAACCCAGCAAGAUUUUUAUUUUUUUCUGUUCUCAACUAAAAUUCAUGUGUACAAUUUCCAGCCAUUUUGAAUUGUUUUGUCUUUUGUUAAUCUCCUUUUAUAAACACUACACAUUCUGUAUUUUGUAUGAGCAUAAAAAUAUUCACACAUAGUGUGAAACUUUCAAUAUUAUAGACGUUAUUAAAUAAAUUCCAAAUACAAAUGGAAUGUCUAAUCUCUUGUAAUAAUGUGCUGGAUUGGUAGUUCAUUUACUAAAAAUGUAUAUAAAUGUGGACAGGAAGGAGAAAAGUUCACCAUAAUUCAGAGAUAUAAUAUGUUAAUGUGUUAAUUGAAGACUCUUUCAAUUGGCCUUGGAUACGACUUAAUUUAUGACUUAGACAUUUUUAUUUGAGUAAAAGUUUUUUCUCUAUACUUUGGCAUGAGAACAAGCAUUUUUAUGGGCUAUAUUUCAGUUUGACAUGUAUGUUUUUACAUUUCAAAUGCUAUAUACUGUAUCAAUAAGCAAAAAUUAAGUGAAGAAAAAGACAUGUAUUGGCAAGUUCGAACAAUAAUAUAAAUCAUUGCAAUAUGUAAGUUGUAAAGUAGACAUGCAUAAACCAAGAAUAAUAAAAAAUCCACUAUCUGAUAAAACAGAAAUAUUCAAAUGUACUGACUUACUAAAAGAAUGUUCUAUAUGCAGCAGCAUCUGUUCUGAUCAUUUUUUUUAACGAAAGCACAGUAGCAGAAAAACGACGAUAACAAGAAAUAAAACAAUUCAUAAUGCAGUGCCAUACUAAUGUAUUCUGGCAUCCACUAUAUGCAGUGUUAAUUUUGGUGGCAAAAUUCUAUUCAGUUUUAGUCAUAGUCUUUUGACUAAAGCCAUUUUAGUCACCUAAAUUGUUUGUCUAGUUUUAGUCAACUAUAUCUCAAACAUUUUAGUCGACUAGAAUUUAAAUAAAAUUGUUAAUCAACUAAAUGAACACUGACUAUAUGCUGUAUGUUCUUGCUCUGUCCUUAUAUGUGUUGUGGGUAUUUGUGUUAACCUCCUUUGGGUACCAAGUUACAGUGAUAUUGAUAAUGCAGGUAGCUCCUGUGGGUGGCGCUCACUUCUGUCAACUAACAAUUUUAGUCAAUUAGGUACCAAUAUAGCUGCACAAUACGAUUAUGUAGAUCAGGAGCUCUGGUGAAAUCAGGAGGGUUUUAACAUGCCAUACAACAUAUGGUAUAUGCAAGAAAGGGAGACAUUUGGACUGGUACAUAGAAACAUAGAAUGUGACGGCAGAUAAGAACCAUUCUGCCCAUCUAGUCUGCCCAAAUACUUUCAUUAGUCCCUGGCCUUAUCUUAUAGUUAGGAUAGCCUUAUGCCUAUCCCAUGCAUGCUUAAACUCCUUUACUGUGUUAACCUCCACCACUUCAGCUGGAAGCUAUUUGAUGCAUCCACUACCCUCUCAGUAAAGUAAUACUUCUGGAUAUUAUUUUUAAACAUUUGCCCCUCUAAUUUAAGACUAUGUCCUCUUGUUGUGGUAGUUUUUCUUCUUUUAAAUAUAGUCUCCUCCUUUACUGUGUUAAUUCCCUUUAUGUAUUUAAAUGUUUCUAUCAUAUCCCCCCCGUCUCGUCUUUCCUCCAAGCUAUACAUGUUAAGAUCCUUUAACCUUUCCUGGUAAGUUUUAUCCUGCAAUCCAUGAACCAGUUUAGUAGCCCUUCUCUGAACUCUCUCUAAAGUAUCAAUAUCCAUCUCGACAUACGGUCUCCAGUACUGCGUACAGUCUAGGGACUGUAAAAACGAGUCCUAACUAUCCUUUCUCCUUAUGACCCAGCAAAUUAUGUAUUGGUCCCUGAUCAUAAGGGACGAUAUACCCAUUUGGCUAUGGCCAAGGAACCACUGGCUUGGUUGUCCCUUGCAUCCUCCUGGAAAAUUAUUCAGUAGCAUAGUUCAUACAUAGCAUUUGAAAACUAAAUCCUCUGUUCCUUGGAACAUAAGCUCACAGUAAUAUAUCUAGUUACAGAUUGUGAUGGAAGCUCCCAUGCCAUGGUUAUUUCAAGAGGCUUGAAGGCCAGCCUCUUGCCCACAGAAUAUGGACCUGGUCCCAAGAACCCCUGAAAGGCUUGUGAUGGUAGCAAUUGAAAAACAAACUAUCCAUUGUUACUUGAUAACUCUGCAGUUCCCUCAGCUCACUGAAUGGAAGUGAGCACAUUUGCAUAAUGCUGGUAUGCAAAUGAGGGCAACCAAAUAAGUAUUCAAAUGUAUAUAUUAUUGCUUUUUAGUGUGUUUGAAAAUAUUACUUUUGCCUACUUGGACCUUCACCUACCAUUCACGUUCGGUGGUUUUCUUUCCCAUUGGGUUCGGCUAUUUUUGCCGUGAAUGGUCAUAACGGUAAUAACAGCAUUCACGGCUAUUUUGUCUGUUCGACGGAUUAACCUGUUUCUUUGUUCGUGAGUUUCUUCAGCAUUUGGGAGUAUUUCACCACGAAUACAGUUUUGCUGGCUUUUGGUGGCCAUCUUUUAUCUUGUACUGCAAGAUUUGCAGCGGCCAUCUUCCCCUCUGAGUGUAGUUUGGAGUUUGUUCUGUGUAGAUGGAUUUUUUUAGGUGUGCUGUCCAAAUUAACAUAUAUCAACCUGCUUGCCUCAUUUUAAUCCAUUGCCUGUUCAGGGAUCUGCUACAGGUUAGUCACAACCUUAAGGGUGAGUCAGCCGGUCAGGUCUUACCUAUUAACUCGGCUUGAGGUGAGCCCCCAUAUAUAAUUUUGUGCUGCCGAGCAGAGCUGAGCAUGCAGUCUCCUUUUUUUGGGGUGAGCCCCAGAAUCCAUUGUCUGCCUACACAUGGGCCAUGCCUCAUAGGCCAUUGUACCCCCCUAGAGGUUUCUGAAGCCGUUUUGCCACAUGUGCCUGUUCAACUCACAGAAUAUACCAUUUAGGUGAGCACCAAGUGUAUUUCAUUACUGCCUAUCAUGGAGGAUUUCCAAAUGCUCACAGACCUGCAAGCUCUCAUCAACGUGGCAGCGACUGGCAACUAGACCUGCACAUAUUUGCAGCACUAAACACAUGGAGAGGCCCGUUCGGGAUAGAUCUCUUCGCAUCUCGCACCAACCGCCAACUACCAAUUUUCUACAGUUGGUUGUUCGACCCACAGAGUUCUGCAGUGGAUGCCUUCCUGCAGAAUUGGCCAGUCAGAGGGGGCUACGCCUUUCCGCCUUUUGCAAUGAUUGCAAGAGUUUUACACCACAUCAGAGCUCAAGAAGUGACAACUCUCUUGUUGACUCCACUAUGGCCGGGUAAACCAUGUUUCCCAGAUAUUCUUGCGUUGUCCUGCGAGGACCCUCUCCUCCUACCGUAUGAUCAGAUGAUGCUCAGAGACCAUAUGGGGAAUCCCAUGUUACAAGACAAACACCCUUUCUUUGGUAGCCUGGACUCUUUCAGGGGCUUAUGGUGUACCGACGAACUAUCGUCGGAGGCUAGAGACAUCCUCUGGGAUUCAUGGGCUCCGGGAACAUGGAGAUGUUACCUUGCAGCUUGACAUUCAUGGUCCAAUUGGUGUAUGGGAUGGAACCUCGAUUCCUUUAUGACCUCUGUGUCCUCCAUAUUAAAUUUUCUGGCAUCCCUGUUUUCGGAAGGUAAGUCUUAUCGCUCCAUUAACGUUGCCCGUGCAGCGAUUUCGGCAGCUUAUGUCCCUGUCCAAGGAAAACCAAUAGGUCAGGACCCUUUGGUUUGUCAUCUACUUUGGGGCAUUCAGUUACGUAGACCUCUGGCCCCGAAGUAUUCCAGUCUAUUGUUCUUUGAUUCCUGAAAGGGUGGCCUUCUAUUAAUCAUCUCUCCCUAAGACAGUUAACUGCUAAAUUAACCCUUCUCCUUUGCUUGGUCUCCGUCCAUUAGGUUGCAGACAUUCGGGCUUUCAAUGUAGACACCUUCUCUUUUUCUCCAGAGGGCAUCACCUUUUGGGUUUCCAGAUGUACCAAAUCGCAUUCGACGUCGGUCUUCUUCCCAAUUUUCCCGUCGGACCACCAACUCUGCGUGGUCCAGGUUCUAAGAGCCUAUACAGUGGCUAUGGCUGCAAUGUGAUCUUCAUCCUCCCAACAACUGCUAGUCUCCUACCUAAAGCCAGACAGACCUGUUUCGGUUACCACCUUGUCACGGUGGGUGAGAUGGCUUUUGUCCUUGGUCCGAGAUGACCCCUUGUUUGGUGCCCACUUGGUUCGGGUUGCUUCGACAUUGUCUUUUUUUGCGCCGGUUGUCUCUUUGUUGGAUAUUUUACUUGCAGUGGAUUGGUCACAGGAAAUCACCUUUUGGACCUUUUAUUUUCAUCCACCUCCAAAUGCCGCUUUUUCACGGUUAUAAUAAAGUUAAAACCGCAAAAUAUGAAGCCUCCUGUCAUGUGAUAAAAUUGAAGAUUAUGCUAGUUUUAGUUCACUAAUAAUCUUAAUUUUACUAAUGACAGGGGGCGAGUAUUCCCCCCUCCCCCUUUUUUGUUUCCAUCACUGGGAUAUUGGGUUCACAUUCUGGUUCAGAGGAUUUCAUGAAGAGUCUUGGUUUUUAGUUACCUGUAUUUAUAUGUAUGUUAUAUUCUCUUUCAGCUUGAUCCAACACAACAUACUUCUCUAGUUAUAACCAUACGAAGAUUCUUUCUGAUUUCCAUCUUUCGCAUGGAUUUUACAGUUGGAUUCCUUAUUCAUUAGGAUAUUGUUGGACGUUUCCUGACUAUAUAUAUUUCUUGUUGAACCCUUUUUUGUAUGACUUGUGAAGUCGCUAUUUUCAAGAGGAAUUGCCUCAAUGGGAGGUGCAUGUUAUAUAUUCUGCUUGUCUCUAAUUGGUCCUUGUUUUUUCUAUGUUCUUUGCUGCUAUGGAGUAGUAAAGGAAGUUAAUGCAUGACACUCGCCUCCUGUUGUUAUUAAAAUUAAGAUUAUUAGUACACUAAAGCUAGCAUAAUCGUCAAUUAUAUUUGCUCAUUCUCCAGUGUUCUAUAUAUUUGUAUUUUAAAUGUUUGUCACCACAUGUUUAAGCACUAGUCCCCAAAGACUAGUCCUUUCCCAAUGAACAGAGGGUUGUAGUCAAUGGAGUAUAUUCAAAGCAAAGUCUUGUUACCAGUGGGGUACCUCAGGGAUCUGUACUUAGACCCAUUCUCUUCAAUAGUUUUAUUAGUGAUAUUGCAUAAGGUCUUGAUGAUAAGGUAUGUCUUUUUGCAGAUGACACAAAGGUUUGCAGCAGGGUUAAUGUUCCAGGAGGGAUAAGCCGAAUGGCAAAUUAUUUAGGUAAACUAGACAAAUGGCCAGAACUGUGGCAACUGACAUCUAAUGUGGAUAAGUUCAAGAUAAUGCAUCUUAGGUGUAAAAGCAUGCGUGGGAUAGGCGUAAGGCUAUUCAAAAUAUAAGAUAAGGCCAGGGACUAAUGAAAGUAUUUAGAAAAUUGGGAACAAUAGAUGUGCUGAACGGUUCUGAUCUGCCAUAAUAUUCUAUGUGUAUAUGUGCAAAUAAAGAAUUGUAUGUUAGUUCCUUUUGGAACUGUGUAUGCUGUGUCUAAUUCAUUAAGGGGCAUGCCGGCCACUCGGAAUAAACAUUCCUCAAGUUUUCAUUAACCAUGAACCUUGUGUCCGGUGUGAAUUACUUUGGGAGCGUGCACGCAUACUUUAAUUUGGACAGAGGCAGAUACACAAAGGUUAUCAAACAGUUGAUUUGAUCCACGACAAUUUUUAUCUUGUAAUAUCUUUUUUAUUUGACUAACAUAACUCUCUUAUGCCGACAACCAAAAAUACAGCCCAAAAUUAUCACAGAACUGGCACUAUUCAUCAUCACCACACAUAAUUAUUUCAGUUUUAACAAUGAGGUUUACCUACAAAUCAUGGGCAGUGCUAUGGGCACUAAGAUGGCACCCCUCUAUGCGAAUCUGUUUAUGGCAGAUCUUGAACAGAGAAUCCUAGAAAUACAGCACACCAAACCAUAGAAAUAUUAUCGCUAUAUUGAUGAUAUCUUCAUAAUUUGGACUGAAAGUGAAGAAAAAGUGAUACAGGUCCAUGACUCUUUUAACACAUAUCAAACUAAAAAUGGAUUAUUCCACUAGAUCUGUGAAACAAACAAAGUACCGAAUGGAAUACCACACACAGGAGGUCGAGUGGCUCCCAUUAACAGAUUGCAACAGUGUAUCUAUCCUCGGUUAAUUGAUUCACAGGGUGGCCGCCGUUCGGAUACCGACCACAUGGCGGCGGCCAUCUUGGAUCCUCUUUUAGCCCCGCGGUGUUUGGUUGUUGUGUGCCUGGAACUAAAAUCGUCAACUCGACGGCACGAACACCGCUGGACUUCCAGACCAUUCGCGACCACUGGUCUUUCGGUACUUUCAUUCAAACUGUUCAUUUGUGUGUUUUCUUAUGAGUUCCUAUUAAACUAUGUUUCGUGUGGCAUUCGGCUUAUUGUGCUGGGAUCUGAGCGGUAGUUUCCCGAAGUAUGCGCUCAGAUCCCAGCUAUCUAUACAGAUGUCAUUCAGUUAAAUAGCACGAAUAACCUGCAAGUUAUGCAUUUUUUAGUAAAAAGACCGGUUCUGCUGUACAGAGGGAUAAUCCACUUAACAGGAUAUUCUUAUGGAAGUAUCCCUCUCGUACAGCAGUGCAUGGUGGGAAAAUUGUCCUGUAUGUUCAGUUCCCCAUGUAGUCCCCUACUGUACAACCCCUGUAAAGUCAUUCAGAAAACUAUUUGCAUGGGGAACCACAUCAUUAUUGUGACCUGUGAAUAAAACCUCAGUUGUCUCCCAGCCUUUGUGUCGUCUAGUUCUUGGGAAGGAAUGAUUUUUAUAACGCUACCAGGAUUAUUGUAUACUGUACCUGGCUACCUGGAUUAUUACAUGCUGUUCCUGUCUACCAGUGGAGAUACUGUGGAUUAUACUACCUCUCCGCUACAACUCCAUUAAACACCACAAAGAUGAAUCCCACUGCACCAAUCCUACAUGUGACGAGACGGAAUAUUAUGCCUUGGCGCGCAUGCGAGAAUACCAGAUUGGGUGCAAAGACUUUCAUAUUUAAGAAGAGACGCCGGAGAUCAUCCCCAGCUCCUGAGGAAGUCCCGAAUACUGUGGGACGAAAUGCGUCAAGCCAGACUACAGUACAGAGACCUGACUACAACCACUGUAUUUACUUCAAAAGGUAUCGCGACCAACAGGGCUUUGAGUGUACCCAAGCAACAUCCCCCAGUGGUUGGUGUGGUAUUUUAUAUCCUGGUCUUGAAAUAGUACUGUUUAUUUUUAUUCUACUUUAUAUAUGUUUUUACAAUAAAUCUUGUUACUUUUACUUUUGAUCUGAUCCUUUGAGUUGUUAAACCUCGCUUUUUGCCUAGGUUUUUAGCGCCCUCACUUGUUGGUUUGGGUUAUUCCAAACCUUCACCUUUUGUUUUUAUUUGAUAUACAUAGGCUUCUCUGGAGUGUGCCUAUUGAGUGGAAGCUUUUAAUCUUGGGAUCCUAAAAGUCUGGAUCUCCCUUUAUUGUGUAUUUUUCUAUGCUGGAUAUAGGCAUUCAUGCAUAUCCUGUAACUCUUGAAUGAGAAUGCAUGCAUUCUAAAUUUAAGUAAUUAUUUUGUUUUUACUCUCCCCUUGUAGCAUCUUCUGCGCUGUUUGCUUUUUUUUCUCUCUCUCCUCCCUCACUCUGUGAUCUUCACAAAAAAUAUUUACAACCCUCUGUGAGAAUGGUGUCUAUUUUCAAUUAAACCUGUCUCUUUAACCCCUGUAUCACAACUAAACUUUGAAUUCUAUCUGUCGUCUUGCUCAGAAAUGCUUUAGACUUGAAAAAGGGAGGUUCUCCUGAAAGCUUGUCUUUAAAAAAUUCUGUUAUUCCAAUAAAAAAAGGUAUUACAAGAUACAAAUUAUACACGUCUAUUUAUGAAUAAGAUGGCGCAAAAACUACAUUAAAUAAAAGUUGAUAUUGUUUGCCGCAUCCCGCUUCAGAUCUUGGUAAUAAUAUUCAAACAGUGAAACAACUAAAGUGCUGGUGCGCAAGAUUUAAAAGAACACCCUUAGUGAUACUAACUAGCAAAAGUGUUCUCUGGGGGUUUAUAUGCAAAAUAGUGAAAUAAUAUUAACCCACAAUAUAACACGUGUAUAUACUUGCUAUUCCGUAAGUAUACACUGGUAGUAUUUUCAAAUCGGAGACAAAAAGAAACACAGAAAGCACUCCCAGUGCAAUAAAGUUACAAAAUAAAACAAAUGUGUAUAAAACCUCUGUAGGUAUUGAACUCACAAGAUGAGAGUGGUAAUAGCCCCACUCAAAGCUUUAAUGCCCAGGGAGGAUCAGUCCCUAGAGUACGUGGGAUCCAACAGAUGCUCUUGUGACCCGGGUUACAGGUAAAAAAAAAACUUGUUUAUUUCAAAACACAUAUAGCAGCAAAAUAAGUCCACCGUCUGCUCACCAGCCCUCUCGUAGUGAAGGACAAUUAGGAUGUAGUCGCCUUCCUUCUCCUUCCGAUCGUGGCUGGUCUCACCUGUGUGCAAGCUUCAAACACUUCCAUGCUCGUGGUCCCGUGACGCGUUUCACCGCUCCUCCUGAAGCUGUCUCAAACGAGCAGUAUCUCCUCCCACCAUUGUUUGUCUUUUAUUUGCAGGGCUCUUUGCCUUGAUCCAAUCAGCAUAUAGCAAUCUUCACCUCGCACCAUGGGAGUCUCUAGAAUACCAAAAUAUUUAUAUAGGAAAUCACAUAUCCAAGAUAUACUUAAUGUCUGCAUGUUAACCAAGGAACCUAUGUUCAUUUCCCCAUUACUAUACCAUACUUUAAAAAAGAGCAAGAUUGUCUGACUCAAAACUUAUCAAAAUACAAAUAUGACCUUCUCCUGUAUGUUAAAAUAAAGGUGUGUGAGAAAACAGAAAAAAAUUAAAAAAAUGUAUAUAAAUAUCAAUAUGAAUAAAAAUAAAAAUUUAAAAUUAACUAUGAAAAAUGGUAGUAAAAAUCGGCAAAAUCAUGCAAUAAAAAAUAUGCAAUAAAUCAUUAAACCAUGCAAAAUAAACAGGACUAAACAGCGAUGUAUGUAGAUGGAUAAGGUGUCUAAAUACAAAAAACACUAUAAAAGUUAAAAGAAUAUCUCAAAUAUAGAAAACAAUUGCUGAAAAAAUCUAUAUAUUAUAAAAAAUUACACAGUUCAAAAUCUUUGUUAAGACCGGACGGGGCUAAAGUCUCUAGUUGGAAAAUCCAUCGCAUCUCCUCCUGUCCGAUCUUCUGCAUAAAACCACCUCCUCUCCAAUCUUUAGAUACCUGUUUAAUCCCAGAAAAUCCCAGGCCACUUGGGUCCUACACAUGUACCUUUUUAAAAUGUUCAGAGACACUGUGACACUCCACACCUCUUUUAAUAUUAUAAAUAUGUCACAUCUUUUACCUCUUCAAGGGCUUUCUCUAAAAUAUCUUCAGGGUAUUGCUUUUCCCUAAAUUUGUUUAAAAGGUCCAGCGCUUGCUAAUAAUGCUAAUUUGAUACAAAUUUUAUCUGGUUUUUAAAUAUAUAUAUAUAUAUAUAUAUAUAUAUAUAUAUAUAUAUUUGUGUGUGUAUCAGAUCCUUAUCUUCAGUGAGAGUACAGAUCCUUAGAGACUUUAAGUCUAUGUUAUAUGGGAUAUUGGGAUUUUCCUCCCUCAAGUGUUGUUACUCCUGUGUCUGUCUCCCUCCAAGUCCACGGUGCUACCAUCAGCUUCACUACGCAGGCUCGCUGACUAGUUGUUCUCUUUGACUCCGACCUUUCCUUCAAGCCUCAUGUUCAAUCUAUCGCCAAAUCCUGUCAUUUCCAUCUCAAAAACAUUGCGCGCAUCCUCCCCUACUUAACGCCAGAUGCGACUAAGGUGUUGGUCCAUUCCACUGUCCUCUCUCGCCUUGACUACUGUAAUCCGCUUCUCAGUGGUCUUACAUGCUCCCAACUUGCGCCGUUACAGUCCAUAAUGAAUGCGGCGGCGAGGCUCAUCUUCCUGUCCGCCCGCACCUCCCAUGCCUCACCCUUCUGUCAGUCCCUACAUUGGUUUCCUAUAAAAUAUAGAGCUCAAUUUAAAAUUCUGGUUCUUGCUUUCAAAUCUCUACAUAAUGCUGCUCCCACCUAUCUAUCCUCCCUUAUACACAAGUAUGUCCCGUCUAGGCCCUUACGAUCUGCUGAAGACUCACGUCUAUCUUCUGUCCGUACUCCCACCUCUGAUGCUCGCCUUCAAGACUUUUCCAGGGCUGCACCGUUCCUGUGGAACUCGCUUCCUUCCUCCGUUAGAUGCUCACCCAGUCUCCACUCCUUCAAAAAAAUCUUUAAAAACCCACUUCUUCAUAAAAGCGUAUCAAUUAAACUAUUAAUAGCUCCUGACUGAUUCCUCUUCUGCAACUCUCACUAGUCUAAUACUAUCCUUACCUUUUUGUGUCAUUUUACCCCACUCCCUCUAGAAUGUAAGCUCAUUGAGCAGGGCCCUCAACCCCUCUGUUCCUGUGUGUCCAACUUGUCUGGUUACAACUACAUGUCUGUUCGUCCACCCAUUGUAAAGCGCUGCAGAAUUUGACGGCGCUCUAUAAAUAUCAUAAUAAUAAUAAUAAUAAUUCCUAUUUCUAUGUUUUAAUAUGAUCUACUAAUAAAGUGAGUAUUUAAACAAGCAGAUGCUUUACUCAUCUCUGCAAACCUGUUAAAUUUUCCUUUGAUUUUAUACUCCAGGUAUGAUUAACAGGCACAAAUGUCUCUACCAGAAUCCAAAACCGCUACACAAAAGUAUAUUUGGAAAAAGUACAUACCCCAGGCUAUGUAACUAAGAGCAUAUUGCCACUUCAAAUUUUACCAUAUUAUCACAAAACUAUGUCAAAUUAGUUAGUUUUUGUGUUUGUGUUUUAUUUUGGGGAAAUAUGCAGACCAUUCCUUUAUUGCAAUCAGCCAAUAGUUGUAUUCAGCUACUGUUCUCGAACAAAAUGAUACCCACAUGUAAACCUUUUCUAAUACUGCCCCUAAUCCUACACCUAAUCUUGUCCCUAAUUCAACUCCUAAUCCAAGUUUUAAUCUCAUUCCACUAACUGGGGCCCCAGCUGACAGAGGGGAGCUCCAAUUAUCUUUUUUUUUUUUAUUCUUUAUUUUUCGUGUGGAAAGAUAACAGACACAUGUAUUUGGCCACAACAGCCUCUACACAACUAUCAGAAUCCGUGCAUAUUAAGUACAAGGCAUUGCUGUGUGCUAUUCACACACAUUUUGUAUUUACAAUAGGUCACAUUGUUAUAGUGAGGUUUUGAAAUCUAAUAACUGUGGGGUUGGAAGACUUCUGUCUGCCUAAGACACCCUUUGUUCCGUGAAGUCGUGGGUGGAAGGAGGAGGGCAGUUCCAGCUAAGGCCAAUGGCUGUUCCUAAUUCCAGGUCAUGUGUCUUUAAGUUAUGGGUGUUUGGUGUGUCUCUUGGCCCUUCUGCAUGUGGACAGGGAGAGGGUUGCGGUGAUUGCGAGGUCCCUCUGUGGGUACCCCUUCUAGGACUAGGUCCGCUCUCUUUUUUGUCCCUGAUUGUAGCUAUUGGUGUGCACCCAUGUGUGUAAUGCUCCAGGCAUCAAAAUGUGUCUUUUUUGUCCUAGUGGUAGUUGCAGGUGGUUCCUGGUCAGUGAAGCAACUAUGGAUUUUGUGUCUAGGUAUAUAGAAGUCAUUGUAGUGUGGAUCAAGUUGUGCCCUUGUGGCUUUAGGCUAGGGAUAUUAGACAUUGCGGUGAGCUUGAUACCAGUCAGUGUUACUAUGUCGCCCUUGAUGUCAGUUCCCUUUAACCCCGGGGGGNNNNNNNNNNNNNNNNNNNNNNNNNNNNNNNNNNNNNNNNNNNNNNNNNNNNNNNNNNNNNNNNNNNNNNNNNNNNNNNNNNNNNNNNNNNNNNNNNNNNCCAUUCACCUAAUAAUGUGCACUCAGACCUGAGCUAUCGGGGGAUAUGUUACAUGUCUGUGGUUUAUGUAGUAAAUGUUACUUUGUGCAUUUUAAAGUGUUAUGCUGGUUUUGUGUUCCCACGUGUGUAAUGGAGUUUUGCCUUUGUCUUGGGAGAUAAUUGGGUUACUUCCCAAUUAUCUCCCAGGGCAGAGGGGAGGAAGCCAGGAUGCAUUGUGGGAAUAUACUGUGACUGUGUGUCCUUUUUGUAUACUUGUCUGUCCCUCGUCACAGUCUCCCAUUUGGUCCCCUAGGGGAGUGUCCACCAGGUGGGAGACCUGCAUAAAAGCUGGGCAGGUAGCCCUCAUUAAACAGACCACUGCUUGACCCUCAACACAGAGCCUUGUCUCGUUCUUGGGGGGAUUCACUGUAUGCUGUUAAGGACUGAUUGCCAGGAGUGUAAGCUGUUCGUCUGCUUUUCCUGUUCGUCUGCUAGCAGCUAUUUGGGAGGUUCCAGUUCGGGAGUUGGAGUGCUAUUUUGUAUCCAGUUCGUGAGUUUUGGUGUUCUGCAGUAGCUGUGCCUGGAUCUCUGGAAAGGGGGCCGAUCGCCUAAACGGUUUUUACCCCUUGUGUGCAAAAUGGUCCGUUACAGGCAACUCCUGCGGCUUGGAGUUUUUUGGUGAUUGGGUGCAUACUUUUGCGGCAUAAUAGUGUCGCCCUGCUCAAGUCCUGAAAGAAAGAGAGAUUGCUUUCUUCAAAGCCAAGAGGGGUCUUUUCUUGUAUAGCUGCCAUUAGCCCCAGUUUGUCCGACAUUGAUUGUCAUCUCAAUAUUAUGUCCCGUGGGGCUGAGGUGGGUGCUUGUGGGGAUUUGGCUAUCCUGUAAACCCCAUUGAACUGGAAUGUUUUGGUUUGUCUUGUCGGUAGGAGUGUGGCCACAAGGCGUCUGGUGAAGUGUGGCAAUUCUUCCAGCGGUAUUGACUCAGGUACCCCUCGAAUUUUGAUGUUUAUGCGGCGCGCCCUCUGUCAUCUAGAAGGGUAACUUGUUUUGAGGCCGGUGCGUUGGCUUCUGGUGUCCAUGUGUGAGGGGGGGUGUUGGGGACUAGGGUGUGGGCUUUCUAGCGGUUCUCCCCCCUCUGAUGGGACUGGGGAUGUUUUGCGGGGGGUCUGUGCCUUCACUGCGCUUGGGGCCUGUAGCAUUUGGCCUAUGUUGCGCUGCGGUUUCGGGGUGUUUUGGGGCAGUUUUUGCAUUCUGCGCCCCAUCUCACCUGAGCUAUAUGUGUUAGGGUACCAGUCCUCAAAGUCUGGGUUAUUCCAGGGCCAGUGUUCUCCCAUGAUGGACUGAGGCUGCCUCCCGCCCGGUAGGCCUUGCCGCCUCGGCAUCUAUUGUUCGAGCCGGGCGUCAGGAAAAAAGGCAUCGGCGGUCACAGUGGGGUUCCCUGCUGGAUGUGUGGACGGGAUUUGUGCGGGAUGCCUCCGAUGUUGCCGGAUCCGCCCCCCCUCCAAUUAUCUUUUGAUACCUGGGUGUCCCGUUUUUGUAAAAUCUGCAGACUGGGCACUGGCGGAUCCAGAGUCUUAUCUCGGGAGGGGCACUCAUAGAAUAUUUAAAGAAACAAUCCAGGCACAAUAACCACUACAGCUCUCUGUAGAGGUUUUGGUGCUAGGAGUGCCAUGGCGCCCUCCCAGAGUAAAUAGUCAAACUGUUUAAGAACAGUUUGACAAUUUACCUGGGGUCUGCCAGGAUAGGGGCUGUAGUAGGGGUUAGGGGCUCUAGUAGUGUGUGUGUGUGUGUAUGGGAGGCACUGAGUGUGUGAGGGAUGCAGGGUGUGUGUGCAUGGGAGGCAGUGCAUGUGGGACAGUGUGUGUAUGGGGGUGCAGUGGAAGCACUGUGUGUAGGAGGCAGUGUGUGUUUAUGUGAGGGGUGUAGGGUGUGCAUGGGAGUGCAGUGUGUAUAUGUGGGGUGCUGUGGGUGCACUGUGUGUGUAUGGGCCCAGUGUGUGUGUGAGGGUGUAGUGGGGGCUGUGUGUGUGUGUAUGGGAGUGCAGUUGGGAAAGUGUGUGUAUGGGGGUGCAGUGUUUGUCUGGGGGAGCACUGUGUGUAUGGGUGUGUAGUGUGUGUGUGUGGGAGAUGUGUGUGGGGUGCAGCGUUUGUGUGGGGGGGAAAUGUGUGUGGGGGUGCAGUGUUUGUAUGGGGAGCACUGUGUGUAUGUGUGGGGGUGAGUGUUUGUAUGGGGUGCACUGUGUGUAUGGGGGAGAAGUGUGUGUGGGGUGCAGUGUGUGUGGGGGUGCAGUGUUUGUAUGGGGUGCACUGUGUGUAUGGGGGGAAGUGUGUGCGUGGGGGAGCAGUGUGUGUGUGGGGGGUGUGUGUGUGGGGGUGCAGUGUAUGUGUUGGGGGUGUAGUGUUUGUAUGGGGAGCACUGUGUGUGGGGGGGUGCAGUGUGCAGUGUUUGUAUGGGGAGCACUGUGUGUGUGGGGGUGCAGUGUGUGUGGGGGUGCAGUGUGUGUGUGGGGGGGUGCAGUGUGUGUGGGGUGCAGUGUGUGUGUGGAGGAUAAGUCUGUGUGUGGGGGGUUGUGGGGGAAGUGUGUAUAGUUGGAGGGGGCAGAGCAAAACUAUUUUUUUUAAUUAAAAAUACAUUAUUAUAUAUUCUUUAUAACCCCCCUCCCUUCUUACCUUAUAUGUCAGUCUCUUUAUUUACCUGUCAGAGCACUCUGAUUGGAUGGCUUAAACCAACCAACCAGAGUGCUCUGAGCCUAAUUGCAGGGCGGGGGAAGGCUUUAUAAGCCUUCCCCCGCCCUGCAGAGCUCAGUCUGUGCGGAGCCCUCCAUGGGUGAAGAUGGAUUUUUUUUUUUUGCACUCUGGUUUUUGUUUUGUUUUUUUCAAAGUGCGUUGGUUAUUAUGGAUUUUUAUUUGGCCUUUUUAUGGGCUGAAAAAAGAAGAUUUUAGAAGAAAGAAGACAUCAAAUGGUAAGUUUUAUUUUCAUUUUUUUUUUACAGGUAUCUAGUUAAAGGUCCCCCCUCCUUAGGGUGAGGAGGGGAGAUAGGGGGUGGAGGCCGGGGGAGAGGACAAUAGGUCCCCCCCCUAUUUUACUUUAGGACCCCAUCCGCCGCCCAGGGGUGGGAGCCGGGGGGGAGGACAAUAGGUCCCCCCUUAUUGGUAUUUAGGGCCCCCACCCACCGCUCAGUAACUUCGGAACUUCGGCACUUCGGAACUUCGGCACUUUGGAAAUGUCGGAACUUCGGGACUUCGGCUAUUCGGCACUUCGGCAAUUCAGCUUUUCGGACAUUCGGAUGUACCUGAAUGUCCAAAUUGUCUGAAAUUCGUCUUAAUUGCCAUUUGGAACGAAACGAAUUGCACAUGUCUAGUGUCCAAACUUUUUUCAAAGAGGGCCAGAUUUGAUGAAGUGAACAAUAGUGAGGGCCGACCAUUUUUCCUGACAUUCUUUGAACCAUUAAAAUUAAAUGCAAAUUAACUAUUUUAUGCAAGGUUUAUUGCAAACGGCAUAUUCUUCAUUUCAUCUCUUUAUUCUGUCUCUUUUUAUUCUGUCCCUUCUCUCUUUAUUCUGUCUCUUCUCUCUUUAAUUCUGUCUCUCUUUAUUCUGUCUCUCUUUAUUCUGUCCCUUCUCUCUUUAUUCUGUCUCUCUUUAAUUCUGUCUUUCUUUAUUCUGUCCCUUCUCUCUUUAUUUUGUCUCUCAUCUCUUUAAUUCUGUCUCUUUUUAUUCUAUCCCUUCUCUCUUUAUUCUGUCUCUUCUCUCUUUAAUUCUGUCUCUCUUUAUUCUGUCCCUUCUCUCUUUAUUCUGUCUCUCAUCUCUUUAAUUCUGUCUCUCUUUAAUUCUGUCUCUUUAUUCUGUCUCUCUUUAUUCUGUCUCUAUUUAAUUCUGUCUCUAUUUAAUUCUGUCUCUCUAAAUUAUGUCCCUUAACCCUGUCUCUCUUUAUUCUGUACCUUCAUUCUGUCCCUUCAUUCUGUCUCUUUAUUCUCUGUCUAUUUAUUCUGUGCCUCCAGGGAGAAAGCACCAAAUACCGCAACAUUGACAUCCAAGAGAUCCAGCAACAUCCAAGAGAUUGCGAGAACACAGACUGAGGAUGGUCAGUGACCCAGGACCACGGCGUUCAAAGAUCCAGGAAACCUGAGCAGCGCCCAGGGAUUUACUGGGGACCACAACAGAUAGAUUAGCCAAAUUACCUGUG
rnacentral:lncRNA from 1 species